rnacentral:lncRNA from 1 species
AGCUUCCUUGGUAAUGGUCCGGCCACUUGGGCCAAUCGCUACAGCUGCAGGAAUGCCUUGAAUUUUGAAUUUCCGACUCAGGAUUUGUUUCCUUCCAUCACCAAAUGGAAGGGCUAACCAAGGCAUUUCUGAAUAGAACUCGUCAAAGGUGGAUUGAUCUCUGUCGCUUGAGAUGAAGAUCACCUCAAAUGCAUUGUCUUUUCUUUUAAUUGUGUGGUAUGCUUCAAUUAGCUUGGGUAAAAAGGCACGACAUGGAGGGCACCAUUGAGCUGAGAAGUAAAGAAGAAUGUUCUUUCCAACUAGUUCAGACACUGGGACCUAAUCAAGAGCAAACCAUUUGUAUAAUAUAAAAAACCUUAGCUAAUGAAUUCAAUUCGUGAUAAUAAGAAAGUUAUUGAAAGUAAUGCAAUAACAACAUGCGAGGUUAGCAUAGAACAAAAAACAUUACCUUGGAGCCACUUUUGUCAAUCACAAAAUCAUUUUCCCCAUUAACCAAAACUGACUCAAGCGUCUGCGAUUCCAGUUUUGCCUUUUCAAUUGCAGCUAGCUCGUCAAGCUUUUCCGGUGUAAAUGGGUAGGCUUCAAUACCAUGUUCUUCGAUUAGUUCAGCUACAUAUGGGUUCAAAGUCUUCCCAUCUUGGCCAAUUAUGACAAGAUUAGGAAUGGUUCUAAGUUCAAAAUACCGCACUAGCUUCUCGCAGCUCUUGUCCUUAAAAGGCAAUGCCAACCAAGGCAUUGUCUCAAAACUCUCUUUGAAGUCUUCUUCUUCGUCGUCUAGAGAUAUUAGGACUACUUCGAAGUUCUCUCCUUUUUCCUUGAGCGUCUUAUACAGUUCCACUAGUUUAGGAGUGAAUUCACGGCACAUCCUAUGAGCAUGGGCUGAAAAAUACAAGCCAACCAAUUUUCCUUCAAGGUCCAACACAGGGAUCUGCCAUUACAGAUAGCAAAAAUGUGAAUUAUGGCAUCAUCAAUUCAAUUUCAAAACUAGCUAAUUGAAUGAAACAUCUACCUUUUUUCCAUCAUUUGAAAUCACAUAAUCACGUGAGCUGGAAACCAAGAUAGAGCUUAUGGUUUGAUUCUUCUUAGCAUUCUCUUCUUGCUCUUUCAGGAAAUUCAGUCUAUCAAGGUUGAACGGAUACCCAUCCACGCCAUGUUCCUUGACAUGUCUAACUCCAUUAUCGGAGGAAACCUUACCAUUAGUAUCAAAAAUGACAAGCCUAGGGAUCCCUCUUACUUUGAACACUUCCUUAAGACGUUGGCGGGUCUCCGUAUCAGAGAAGGGAAUAGCAAGCCAAGGCAUUUCGGAGAAGUAUGUAUUGAAGGAUUCAUCGUCUCCGUCAGAAGAAAUGAAGACCACCUCAAAUCCCCCUUUGGAUGAUAGUUGUUCAUAGACUUCUACCAACAGUGGAGUGAAAUUACGGCAUGGGCCGCACCACGAACCAGAGAAAUAGAAUCCCACAAUCUUCCCAACCAAAUUACUGACCUUAACCUAAAAAUUAGUGUCGAGCAUAAUCAGAAAAAAAACAUUAGCCCAUAAAUUAAGAGGGUAAACAAAAACUGAGGCUUUUCUUAAUCAUAAAAGCUCUAGAAAUUGGUCAUAAACUUGUUCUUCAGCAAGGGUCGCACUCUAAUUUAAACAUGAUAUCCAUCUUAAUUACGAGAAAAAGUUUAAUAAGACAAGUAGAAGUAGAUCGCAUAAGACCAGAGAAAUCCAUAAGCUAAAAGCAGUACCUGGUCACCAUUGUUGCGGAUGAGAAAGUCCCUCUCUUCCGACGAAAGAAGGGAUGAAAGGUCGUGCGAAACGUCUUCGUUGGCCAUUGUUAAGUGAUGAACUACUCAAAAUGCUAUAACAAUUGCCGAUUCCAAACGCUAUUUAUUGGGACAAACUGGGAUGGUUCCUUCUAAGUUACUUGCACAGCACGCCGAGUGAACUAUCAGACGUCAACGAUGACAUGUAAAUUUGGAUGGUGAUGACAAAAACAUCAUUCUCCUUAUCUAAAUACCAGCAGGUUCGAGAAACUGGUAUUAAACAUGCUUUCCCACGUGCAACACACCUCCUCUGGCUUUUUUUAUUUAAAAAGAAAAAGAAAAAGAAAAAGAAAAAGAAAAAGAAAAAACAUAUAUUUUUUUUAAUUUCUCUCUCUUUUAUUUUUUUAGUCACUCUUCACUUUUUACCUUUUUUUUUUUUUUCAAGAAUCUGAAUUCUAGGUUUCUUCUUUAAUUAUAAAAAACCUCUUAUGAUUUGAUUAUGUGAAAUUAUACUUUAUAUUUUUUAUCAAAUAAAUUUUUUUAAAUUGAUAAAAUAUCCAAAUUGUCUUUAUCUAUAAUAUAUGAGAAAAUCAAUUGAAUAAUAGAUCAUAUACUCACACUCUCUUUCUUGUCCUACUUUCUCUCUCUACAAAUCAUAUUCUCUCCCUUCUUUGACAACUAUUAUCAUAAUUUGUUUAAUCGGUCUGUUUUUUGUUCUCGUUUUGUGGGGAGUUCCUUCCUUUUCAUGUUUAGAACUCGACGAAGUUGGAAUCUUUUUCAUUGUUGUUAGUCCAAAGAUCACUAUUACAUAUGGUUUUAGUAAUUUUAAUGAUCACAACAAUUUAGUGAAUUUAAUAUGUAUAUGAAGAUUUGAUAUUAUAAGGAUUUUUCUACUAUGUCAAAUUAGAGCAAAAUAGAUUCUUUGGAUGUAAACUUAACUUUGGAUGCCUAAACUUAGAGUUAUGUAAUCAAGUCUUUACAUAAUUUAAUUUUUCACACAAAAAUGAUUUUUAUCCAAAAAGAUUCUUUAUUAUUGAAUUUUUACAUAUUGAAAAAUAGUUUACGAGAAAAUCUUUCAUAAAAUAUUUCAGAUUGUUACUAAAUUUUUUUUAGAAUGAAAAGUAUAAACUUAAUUAAAUGAUUUCUUGUGUUUUGAUCACACUAAACAUUUCUUGUUCAUUUUCAACUAAGUGGGUAGCUAAGUGAGUUGUGACUUUUCCAUACUCAAAAGUGCAUAAUACAACUAUGUCAUUCUACUUUGCUAAACACACCAAGCAUGUUUAAAUUUCUCAUUUAGCAAUAAUCAAUGGAAGGUAAUAAAAUAAGUUGGAUUUGAGUUUUACUUAAUUGUUCCAUCUAAAACAUCCAAAUUCAUUAUCCAACUCUGACCUAAUUAAAUUAGGUUAAAUCGGGGAUGAAAAAGUUUUUUUUUCAAGUUAAAUUUUAUGUUUUAAAACCAGUUUAGGAGUUUUUUGAGUUGACAGUAGGGGUUUUUUUUUGUUCGGUUUGGUUUUGGGAAAAAAAAAGAUAACUUCAUUGAAAUUUACUUUUUUAAGGUUUUCAACCCGAAAUCAGUUCAAAGCUAUCGGGUGCGGCUUGGUUCAGUCUUUUUUGUUUCAAAACUUGUUCAGAUCGACAUUAUUUCAAUUGAGAGUUUUUAUAAGCCUCGCUUUUUAGGUUUUUAUUACAAUGGAUCCAAGUUAUUUUUACUAUUUUUGGGUUUUUCAAGAUUUGUUUUGAAUUUUUUCAUAAAAGGUUUGAGUUGUUUUAUUACAAAGGCUUUUCAUGCCUAUAAAUAAUUAUAUGAAUUUUUACUUCAAUAUAAACAUACAUAGUUGAUGCGAAUUCGGAGAGUAAAACCCCUUGAACCCUCACACAAGAAAAAAAAUCCAAGAAAGCUAAAAUCAAGUUGAAAAGAACCCAACCUAGUGGUUAUCUAAACUAAAGAAUCAUAGUUAUUGGAUGAAAAAACUUAACCCAAUAAUUAUAAUGAACCACUAACUAAAGGUAUAAGGAUGAAACCCCAACCCGUUAAAUAUUGUAAUAAAUAACGAACUAAGAACUAUAGGUGUAAGGAUGGAUAUCAUAAAGAGAGUUGAUCUUUGAUAAGUUUUUUAAAAAGUUCCAUGAGGAACCAAGAGUAUAAGUAAACUCUUUCACACACAAUAAUAUUCUGAAUAAUCAAUCCGUCUCAAAUUAUUAAAAAAAACUAAAUAUAAGUUAAAUAACCAUAUUUAUACUAGGUAAAAUAAAAAAUGCUAAAAAAAUAACAAAAGAGUUCUAAAUGAAAUAGAAGAAAGAAUUCUAAAUUAAUUGAGAAACUAAUGCAAUUCUUGUAUAGUAGCUUUUGAUCUUUAUCGUAAGGCCUUAUCAAUAUUUAAUUGCUAUUAUAUUUCAACUCCAUAUAAAACAAGGAUUUUAGAAUCAUUAAGAAAAUUUGAAGCCCAAUCCACAUGUAAGCAGGAAAAUAAGUUGAAUCCGUAAGUCCUAUAGAAAAUAAAACUCAAAUAUCUUGAAAUAAUCACUAAAUAUUUCUUUAACCUUCUUAGCUCAUAACCUGGCACAUGUAAUUAAUCAUAUGGUAUUGCUUGAUGGUUUUAACAACAAUGCUUCAAUUCAUCCAAAUUAAUAACAAAAAAAGUAAAUGAAAUCUAAAAAGCUACUCUCCAUGAAAAGAUGACAAAAAAAGCUUUCAUCAAAAUCUUAACCAUCUCAUAAUUAUCACUCAUAAAUUAUCACAACAAGUAGCUCCCUAGUUUUCAAUAUUCGUAAUUAAUGAGUCAAUAUUCGUAAUUAUCACUCAUAAAUUAUCACUCAUGGUUUAUAAGGUGUUUUAUAGGUGUUUUGGGUCAAAACAGGUUUUUAGGUCAAAUGAGCAUAAACUCUGAUUUUCCGACAACCACAAUGGCUAGAACCUGGGCAAAACAGGUGUACAUGACUGUCACACCCAAGAGCAUUAAUUGGGUUUGGCAGUCAUGCCAAAUCCAAGGCACUUGGGGCAAGCAGUCAUAAAAGACUUAAGCGUCUUGGGUCAGGCAAGGAUUGAGUCUGACAGCGUUACCCUUGGGUCUGACAUGGUUGCCUGCCUAAGCACCUUGGGUCAGGCAUGGAUUGAGUGUGGCAGGCAAGCCAGACCCAAUCCAUGGGUUUGGUAUGGUUGCCAUCAUAGUUAUCAGACUCGGCUUGACCCUGCAGGUCAACUCAGGACCCGGGUGACCUAGGGCCUUAGCUAGGUAUAUUUCAUUUAAAAUUCAGGCCUGCAAUUGACCUAGAUAAAACCGGUCAUCUUGUCGGAUUAACCCAGAACUCGGGUGACCCAGUAAAACCCGGUAAAGACCUGUUUUUUUUUUUUCAAAUAUAUUUUUUCUCUUAGCCAGAGACCCAUUUUUUUUUAUAUUUUUUAGUUGUUUAUAACUCAUUUCAAAGUUCACUAUAUAAAUACUAGAAGAAUGUUUUUAUUUUUUCAAAGUAAGUUUUGAAGCCCUUUAGUAUAUAUAUUCUAUGUUCACAAUAAAAGGUUAUGUUUUUUCAAUGUGGGAUAAAAAACCUUUUUGAUUUAAAUAUUUCAACUUAAAAUAAUAUGAUAGUAUCUUGCAAAUGUGGGAUAAAAAACCUUUUAAAAUAACAUUUUAAACUUAAUUAUUUACAACAUGUAUAACCCAUAUCCACAUAGAUUAUUUCUUAAUUUUUUUCAUAUGAAAUAUUAAAACCUCAAAUAUUAUUUUAAAAUUUUUCUAAAUUGACCCGAGUCAGCCCGUGUAACCUGGGUCUCGGCUCCUGGGCCGGGUCAACCCUUGGGCCGAGUUUGAUAAUUAUGGAUGCAAUAAAAAUAUAACUUCAAAGAAUACAAUUAAAAAAAAAUAAAGUGACGUGACCGGUUAAAAAAAUAAAAACUGAAAAAAUGCAUAGAACCUCUUUUUUUUUUUUUGUUCAAGGAGCCUCUUUUAAAUAAUAUUGAUUUUUUUGUUACGUGUUUAAUUUUCGGAAUAGUUUUUUUGGUUCAUCUAUAGUUUUGUUUUUAUUUUUUAUAUAGAUAAACUGUGUUUUUGAAAAUAAAAAAUGUUUAUUUUUAGAUGAUAUUUUUAAUAUGAGUAGUUUUACAUGUUAUUUUUUUUAAAAAAAUUAUUCAAUUAAUUUAAUGUCUUAUUUUUCAAGAUUCAAUAUAUUGAUCUACAUUUGUCUCUCGGUUUUCUAAGUUUUGUUUUAAGAUGUCAUUAAUGAUUUUUUAUUGAUUUAUUAGCGCACGUAAUUCUUAGUUUAUUUGAUUACUUGUGUGCAUCAACUUUUUGAUUUAUUAUAUUUUUUGAAGUAUCAAAAUGCAUUGAAAAAACCUGCAUAAAUAAUGUUUUAUGAAAAAUAAAAAUAUCUAACUUGCAGUGAAGCACAUGACACGUAGCUAGCAAGUUCUAUAAAAUGAGUUAGCAAAGUAGAAAACAAACUUGUAAUAGAUUUGUGCACAUUGCCAUUUCACCAUAAGUUACAUUAGCUCUCAAAACUUUUACAUUAGCUCUCAAAACUUUUACAUUGAAACUUAUAAUACUAGAACUAACAAAACAUACUAGCAGAAAUAUAGUAAGCUUGCAACAAAAUAAGAAUCAAGACAUCAAAUUUCCUUUGUGCCUUUGAAACAUAAAAUGUAAAUUAUUAGGGCACAAUUAAUAAUAACUUAUAGGAAAUAAUUAAUCUACAUCAAAUAUGCUAAAUAACAUAAAUCAACUUUGUCAAACAUAAUUAUUGUGAACAUUGAUUUUUUUUUUAGCCCUGUUUGUUUCAUGAAAAAUGGUUUUUUAGAAAUUAUUUUCCAAACUUUUCUGUGUUUGUUUGUCAUUAGAAAAAUUGAUCAACGAAAAACACUUUACAAUAAAAGAAAAAUUUAGCUUGGUUUCUAGGAAAUUAUUUUCCUUUUAUUUUAGGUGGAAAAUACUUUUUAGAAGUUGUGAAAAUUUAGAAAUGUCUUGUUAUAUGCUGAUUAUAUCAAAUUUGAUCCUCAAACUUUUAAUUGUUAUAUAUUUUGUUUUGAUUUUUUUCUUUCAAUUUCAACCCUUAGAAUUUGAUUUAAUUUGAUUUUUAUAUCAAUCUUGGUCUUUAUUUUUAUAAUUGUUAUUUGCUUUUCUCUUAUCAUUUUUAAUUGAAAUUUUUUUAUCUAUCAAAUCUGGUCCUCAUUCUUUUGAUUGUUAUUUACUUUAUUUGAAAUAAUUUUUAAAAUUGUAAUUUUUUUUAAUUUCAUCCUCUUUCAACUUUUUUAUUUGUUAGAUUUGAUCUCUAUUAUUUUUAUUGUUAUUUAUUUUAUUUGAGAUAUUUUAUGAAAUUAGAUUUUUUUUUAAUUUUAUUAUCAUUCAACUUUUUAAUUUGUAAGAUUUGUUCCUUAUUAUUUUAAUAAACUUGAAAAAAAAUUAACAAUUUAUUUUUCAGUUUAUUUUUUAUGACAUAGUCAAAUACUUAAAAAUAUUUUUUAAUAUAUUUUUUAUGAUAUUAUCAAAUAUCAAAAUAUAAUUUACUUUUUAAAAAUUUAAUUUUCAAGAAAAUUACCUUUUUUAAAAAAUAUAUGUUUUUAGCAAACAAAAGGGUUAAUGUUAAUUUUUUUAUAUAUGACAUGGGGUAGAGUGCAAGCCAGCUAGCCGGAUAGUCUUUGGUGGAUAUUCUUUAGGACUUGGAGGGAAUAAACACAAAAGGUACGAUUUUUUUUAGAUGGAAAUCUGAGCUUUAUUGACCAUAUAUGUCUUGCCAGGUGGCUUCUUGUCUUUCCUUAACUGUCAUGUCUCAUUUGAUAAUUAGGAAUUCCUGGCAGGGCUGCUUUAUUUUAUUGUUAUAUUAGUUUGGUUUUGUGUUUUUUUAAUGAAGUUGGUGGGUCCAGAAACACUCAUUUGGAUUUUAUAUAUAUAUAUAUAUAUAUAUAUAUAUAUAUAUAUAUAUAUAUAUAUAUAUAUAUAUAUAUAUAAUUAACUAUAAACUUGCACAAUUAUUUUACUAUAUAUUAAAACAUUUGAAAAAAACACGGUAGAAAUACUAUAGAUUUACUGUAAACAAAGACACAUUGCCCUGUGGAAGAAACUGUGUCAUAGAGUAUUUGCACUGUGGACAACACUGUUGUACCAUGGGGCAUUCCUUUCCUUUGUUUUUAGUCAAUAAUUACGGGUGGGGGUGUGACCUUCUCUACCAAAAGCCGCUGGGUUUGACUUUGGUAGCCGGACCCAACGCUGUUGUGUUUGGUUGACAAGUUAGACCUAAAACACUUCCAAAACAUGCCAAUAAUGUUGAGUCCUGCAUUCCAGCCAAACCCAACAGAGUAUUUGACUGUGAACACAUAAUGUUCGACUGUGGACGACACUGUAGCGCCUGUGGGGGGGCGUUGUCUUUUCUGUUUGUAAGUCAGAAAGGCUUGCUGGGUCGUUGCAGCAGGACCUAAUAGCUUUGGGUCCUGCUUCCACUAGGACCUAAUGGCGUUGGGUCUUGCUGGAACCAUUAGAGUUGGGUCCUGCCUCAAUAGGACCCAUGACUAUAAUUUUUUCCCUUUUUCAUACGGGUAUGGCUGCGUAGCCAGACCCAGCAGCCAUACCCAAUUAAAUUUCUUGGCCGUUGUCUUCUUUGAUUUAAAUUUAUUUUUCAAAAUAAAUUGAUUGUACUGUGGACAACACUAUAGCAUUUUCCCAGAUCAAUCCUAGCUUUAUCAUCUACACACGCACGCACAUGCACUUUUUUCCUUUUUUGACAAGGAAUUAAAGUUAAUCAAUGCAAGAAAGUAGUAAGAUCACUGACAUCGGCAUAGGAAGAUUGUAAAAAAAAAAUUGAUUUCCUUCGGUGGAUGGAUUGGGAAUCCAUAUUAUCACGUACGUGAGAAUUCAAUCCCCCAUGCCUCUCUAUGCCUAUGUACAUCGUAAAUAUAUACAUUUUCUUCACUAUAGUAUAACACCACCAUUGAAUAUAAUGGAAGACCAUUGAUCAAUAAGGACGACUGGCUUCCAGACCUGGAGCCAUACCUAAUUAAAUUUCUUUGUUGUUGCCUUCUUUGACUUAAAUUUAUUUCUCAAAAUAAAUUGAUGAAUUUUUUUUUAUAUUGUAUAAAAGUUAGGUGAUGAUAAUUUUUUUCCCCAUUUCAGAUUGGGUUGAAUUUCCUAAUUAAAUCAUGUUUGAUUUUGCGUUUCGAAAAUUCUUUGAAAAAAAUUUGACAAUUUUUAAGUUUUUUUCUUUGCUUCAAAUUAAUAUUUUUGUUAUGUUUUUGUAUUUUUUUUAAAAUAUAUAUGUUGAGAUUUUGUCUAGCUGCGACGCCAAACCCAAUAAAUUUUUUUAUUUUUUUUACUUCAAAAUAAUAUUUUCUUCAUGUUUUUGUAUUAUUUUUAAAUAAUUUUUUUUAAAAAAAAUAUUGAGAUUGUAGACGGUUGAGAGGUGAGAAACAAGAAAUUUAAAAAAUUUUAAUUUUUUUCUUUACUUUAAAUUAAUAUUCUUUCGAUAUUUUUGUAUUAUUUUUAAAAAAAUUAUACUGAAAUUAGAUCUGAUUGCGUUGUAUCCUGCCUUCCAGCAUGACCCAAAAAUGUUGGCCCCCUACUUGCAGGAGGACCCAAUGCUUAAUUGGGCCCUACUGCCUCCAUGCCCAACAUCGUUGGGGGCUUUUGCAACCAGGAUCCAAUUACGGUGGGCUCGGCCUCCUAGCAGGACCCAAUAUGCGUUGCCAGCAUGGGUGAUUAGGUCCUUUCCGCUAAGGGAACUUGAUUGUGCAGCAGGCAUCGAAAACACAAGCUCAGUAGCAAUUCAUUUUAGCAACUAAACAGGCUAUAAACAAGCCUAUAAGCCCUUUUUUCUUUGAAAGAGAGAGAUUCAUACUUAUCAAUAUUACAAGGGAAAGAAAAGCUCUGAAACUGAAAAGGGAUAUCCUGAUUUCAUUGCCUACUUGAUUGCUUUCUAAAUAGGAUGUGCAUUUCUCCUAGAACCAGCUGGCUUACGGGCUUACAAGGAACCAAAAAUACUUGGAAGUCACACUUUAAUAGGCACUGAAAUUAGAUUUCUUUGAUUUAAAUUCAUUUUUCCAAAUAAAUUGAUGGGACUUUUAUUAUAUUGACCAAAACUUGAGUGAUGAUUUUUUUUUUCGUUUCAGGUUGGGUUGAAUUUUCUAAUUAAAUUAUGUUUGAUUUUGCGUUUCAAAAAUUCUUUUAAAAAAAUUUGAUAAUUUUUAAUUUUUUUCUUUACUUCAAAUUAAUAUUUUUUUUUAUGUUUUUGUAUUAUUUUUUUUAAAAAAAUAUGUUGAGAUUGUCUCUGACUCGAAGCCCGACCCAAGAAAUUUUAAAAUUUUAAUUUUUUUCUUUACUUCAAAAUAAUAUUUUUUAUAUAUAUUUUUGUAGUAUUUUUAAAAUAUAUUUUCUAAAAAAAUAUAUUGAGAUUGUGUCUGGAUGAGAGGGAAGACCCAAGAAAUUUAAUUUUUUUUCUUUACAUCAAAUUAAUAUUCUUUUGAUACUUUUGUAUUAUGUUUUCAAAUAUUAUUUAAAAAAAUAUGCUAAGAUUAAGUCUAGCUGUGUCACCAGACCCGUGGCAGUAGUGGGCCCUACCUAUAAGCAGGACCCACCGCUACUGGGUCCUUCUCCCAAGCAUGACCCAAUGAUGUUGGGCCAUGCUGCCCAGCAGCGGUGGGCCGUCCUCCAAGACCCAUUAGCUUUGGGUCCUGCAGCCAGCAUGACCCAUCAAAAAGCAUUGGGUCCUGCUGGGGGCAGGACCCAGUAAACCAAUAUUGUAAUGUGUUUUUCCUUUCUCUUAUUUUUUUUCAUAGGGUAAAGAGGAAAUAUUAUUAUUAUAUUAUUGUUAUUGUUAUUAUUAAUAAAUUCAAAGAAAAAAAAAUUAUUACGAUCGAAGAAAAAACAUAAAUUUUAUUUAAAGAGAUUAAAAAAUAUAAAAACUUGGGUUAGACAAGUUUAACAUUAUUAUUAAUAUUACAAAUAUUAUUAUUUGUAUUAUAAAUAUUAUUAUUUUUAUUACAGGUAAUAUUAUUAAUAUAAUAAUUAAUAAAUUUGAAAACAAAUAUCAUUAAUAUUGAAAAAUAACCAUUGAUUUGAUUUGAAAGUUAAAAUUAAAAAUCAUUUUUAUUUUUAUUAAGUUGGGUUUGACAUCCCCUUCUAAACCCGAGAAACUUGGGGCAGGAAAGGGACACAUGAUCGAAGUUGCUUGGGAGAGGCAGGAGCGCGGAUCCAAGUCCCUCGGAUCUUGCAGCCGCGCCUGACCCAACAUACUUGGGUUAGACGUUUGGAGCCAAGCUUGGAUCUGGCUGCAACGCUAGACCCAAGAGCGUUGGGUCUAGCCGAAAGGACGGACCCCAAGCUCAGGGGUCUUCCUUUUUAAACAGACCCAAUGCUCUUGUGAGCAGGACCCACUAAAGUUGGAACAUGCUGCCACCAGAACCUAGCAGCGGUGGCCCUGCUGCCAGCCUCCCCUGCCCAGCACGACCCAACGUUGUUGGGUCCUUCAAUCAAGCAUGACCUAAUGAUGUUAGGCCCAAAUGGGUACCCAGCUGCUAGGUCAUUUUGUCGAGCAUGAUCCAAUGAUGUUGUAACUUUAAUGGGUUCGGAUUGAAGUUAGACUCAAUGCUCUUGGAUCCGACAUUUAUAAGGGGUGCAAAGCUCUUGGGCCCGACAUUUAUAAAGGGUGCAAAGCUCUUGGGCCUGAUGUUGCAGACAGACCCACUUACUCUUUGAUAAGUUUAAUAUUGAUAUGAAUAUUAAAAAUAUUAUUAUUUGUAUUAGGAAUAUUAUUAUUAUUUUUAUUAUAAUUAACAUAGUAAUUAACAAAUUUGAAAAACAAAUUUUAUAUUGAAAAACAACUUACAAAUUUAAUAAAGGGUAAACUUAAAAAUUAUUAUUAUUAUUAUCAUCAUCAUCAUCAUCAUCAUCAUUAUUAUCAUUAAAUGUUUUUAAAAAAUGGAAGAAAAACCAUAAUUGUUUUGUGAAUAGAUUAAAAAAAAAUAAAAACUUGGGUCAGACAAGUUAUAUAUUAUUAUUAAUAUUAUUAUAAAUAUAUAUUUUUAAAAAAAUAUAUUAAGAUUGUGUAUGGCUGAGAGGUGAGACUCAAGAAAUUUUAAAAUUUUUAUUUUUUUCUUUACUUCAAAUUAAUAUUCUUUUCAUAUUUUUGUAUUUUUUCUAAAAAAUUAUACUUAUUAUAUAUUAUAUUAUAUAUGUAUAUAUUUUUAUUUACUAUAUUAAAACGCGUUAUCUUUGUUGUUUGUGAGUAAAAAAUUACAGCUGGGUUGAUGGAUCCUGCUAUCACUAGGAUCCAAUAGCGUGAGGUCCUGUUGCGAGCAGGAUCCCAUUGGCGUGAGGUUCUGUUGCCAGCAGGAUCCCAUGGUGUUGGGUCCUCUAGGCCCCAUUAGUGUUGGGUUGGGUCCUCUAGGCCCCAUUAGUGUUGGGUCCUGCAAGACCCAUCAGCUUUGGGUCCUUCGGCAAGCAAGACCCAUCAAAAAAUAUUGGUCCUGCCACUAGUAGAACCCAAUACUACAAUGUGUUUUUUUUUUCUUCUAUUUUUUUUUCUCAAAGGGUAAAGAGGAAAUAUUAUUAUUAUAUUAUUCUUAUUGUUAUUUUUAUCAUUAAUAAAUUCAAAGGAAAAAAAAUUAUUACUAUUGAAGAAAAACCAUAAAUUUUAUUUGAAGAGAUUAAAAAAUAUAAAAACUUGGGUCAGGCAAGUUUAACAUUAUUAUUAAUAUUCUAAAUAUUAUUAUUUUUAUUAUAAUUAAUAUUAUUAAUAUAAUAAUUAAUAAAUUUGAAAACAAAUAUUAUUAAUAUUGAAAAACAACCAUAGAUUUGAUUUGAAGAGUAAAAUUAAAAAUUAUUAUUAUUAUCAUCAUUAAUAAAUUUGAAAAACAAUAUUAUUACUAUCAAAGAAAAAUAAUAAAUUUUAUUUGAAGGGAUUAAAAACUAUAAAAACUUGGGCCAAAUAAAUUUAAUAUUAUUAUUAACAUUAUAAAUUUUAUUAAAUUCAUUAAUAUAUUAAAUUUGCAAUGAAUUUUAUUACUAUUUUAAAAAACAUAGAUUUGAUUUGAAGGGUAAAAUCAAUUAUUAUUAUUAUUAUCAUCUAUGCCAAGAAGAUGGUUAUAAGUAGGCUUUGGGUGCGGCUCUGCAGCCAGACCUAAAGAUAUUAGGUGAGGCUGCACACCCACACCCAUAUUUAUUAGGUGUUGCUCCGCAGCUACACCCAACUUUACACCCAAUAGAUAAACCUAAUUGGGCUGGGUCCUCCUGCCAACUUUUACACCCAACAGCAGGACCCAAUUGGGUUUGGUCCUGCUGCCAGCAGGAUCCAACAACUAUCAACGUUGGGUCAAGUACCCAGUAGGACCCAAAAGCUUUGGGUCUGGCGCAGCGAGACCCAUCGAUGAUGGGUUCUGCUGCCAAUUGAAUCUAUCAGCGUUGGGUCCUGCUAAUCGGCAGGGCCCAUAAGUUGUGAGCCUUUCUGUUAGGCCCAAUGCUAUUGGAUCUGGCUUGCGCUGGACCCAAGACACUUAAAAGAUUCUCUACAUUUGACAAAAAAAUUGUUAUUGACACGCUGCAGAACGCAGACUAAUAUGCUAGAUAUCAAACUAUAGCGUGUGUACUGGAUUCCUAUGGAAAUUAUUUUUUAUAUAAAAAUAUAAUAAAAUAAUAUUUUUUAUAAAUUAUAAAUUAUUUUUUUAUAUUAAAAUUUAAAAUGAUUAAAAAAUAAAAAAUUGUUUUGAAAAAAACAAUUCAUAUUCUAAAAAACACAGUUUAAAAGCUACUAGAUGCCAUGCCUGCGCGAUGUCGCGGGCUUGUGCAUUGUUGUGGGUUUGUGGAAAAAAUCAUAACAAAAAAAAAAAACCAUAUGGAGAAAAAUUGUUGCAAUCCACAACGUUUUCAAGGAAAAAACUACAAAGCUAAAUCUCAACCAGCUUAAUAUUAAAAAAAUAAAAUCGACAAAGAUAAUUUUUAAAAAAAUCAUAAGAAAAAAAAAACGAAAUGAAAAAAAAUCAUGCAGGGAAACACUAUAGCAAUCUAUAGUGUUCAAUGAGGAAAUCUACUGUUGUAAUUCUCAACCAGCUCAAUAUUAAAAAUAAUAAAAUCGAUAAAGAUUGUCAUAACCCAAUUCUGGGUUAUUCCCCAAAAUUCACUUUUUUUUCAAAAUAAAAAAAUAAAAAUAAAUAAAGGCUGGCAACGUGGAGAAAGCAAGCCGGGAAAUCAAGCUGCAAUUUUUGGAGGAAAUUCAAGGCCUAAUUGUACCCCAUUAUGCCCCAAAAUAUAGAAAAAAUGCAAAUUCAAGGUCAAAUUAAAUGAUUAUUGGAAGAAUUUGCAUAAAAAUUAAGUCCAAUGACAUAAUUAAAUUUUUAAUAGGCCAAUUUGAUUUAAUCAUGGGUCAAAUUAAAUUUUAAUUAUGUUUAAGAAUUAAUUUGGGUCAAAUUAAAGGAUUUAAUUAAGUGCAAGGACUUAAUUAUACUUUAAAUGGGUCAAAUUAAUUUUAUUUGGGGCUUAAUUGGUGAAAAAUUAAGUUUGGGAGCCUAAUUUAGACUUAAUUGAGAAGAUUGGAAUUUUAAGAGAAAAUUUAAUUUUUUCCAAGUUAAUUGAUUGAAAUUAGGGAUCAAAUUGCAAGAAAAUUAAAGUUUUGGGGUCAAUUAGGGGUUAAAUUGAAGAAAUCCGAGAACAGGGACCAAUAUGCAACAGGCGACAAACUAUGAGGAUUCAAUUGACAAAACCCAGGGGUGAAAUUGAAGAAAUUGAAAGUUUAAUGGUCAAUUAGGGGUUAAAUUGACAAAAUCCGAGACCAUGGACCAUAUUGUAAACGGCGCGUAACUUCGGGGUUCCAAUUAAAAUUAAGUAGGGGCUUAAUUGCAUUAAAUCCAAAGUUUAUAGCCAAUUAGGGGUUCAAUUGAAAGAAAUUGAAAGCUUGAGGACUAAAUUGAAAAUCAAUUUAAAUCCCUGGUAUAACCUAAAACGGCGCCGUUUUAUAUUAAAAAAAAAGAGGACCAGACGACGCGUCGUCUGGUCACUGUUCAUUGUCUUCUUCUUUCACAUGAAAAAAACUGCUUUGGAGCCUUACUUACAGGUUCAUUUAUUGCUUGAUUUCUCCAUCAAAUCAAACACAACUUGCACGAAACGGAUCCCCUACAGUUCCUCUACAACCCCAUGUGAACGUUGCAGGAUGAAUGACAACACGGCGUCACCGGGGACGGCGUGAAGAGGUCAAUGCAGGCAGCCUUUUUCCUGCAGAUUUGACAACUCAGGGAGGCUACUUUGAACCAACGGUUGGGAUCCUUCCCAACAUAAUCAAGGGCUGAAAUUUUUUCCCGGUAUAGACAAGAUUGCCCUCUUCCACCGCCUAUAAAUAGAGGCGGAGUUGAUGGCCUGAUGGAGGAGAAAAUCGAGUCCAAAGUUGACAAAAAAACCAGCCUCCUCCCCAGUUUUUUUUUUCUUUUUCUGCAACAAGUCUCUCUCUCUACACUCUCUCUCACCAUGCUCUCAGCGACUCCAAGCCACGCUGCCACCAGUUCGUCUUCCACCCUCUCCACCACACUUAUUCCUCUCCACCGAAAGCACCUUCUUUUUCCUCCACAACGACAGCAGCCCAUCAACACCAUCAUUUUCAUUUUCUUUCUUCUCCAGUAUCGGCAGCAGCAACACCGACUCCACCACAGACGCCGCCACCAGCUUCAGGGCGACUACUCGGACCACCUCCAACCUCACUCCAGGUCGGUGACAUCAACUGCUUCUCCCCCCGCAAGGUUGCCUCCCGCUCCACUCCGCGGGCUGCAACUGCAAAGUUGCAUAUAGAACGUGAACUUACUGUUCACGUUCUGCACAUAAUUCAUUUCACUUGGGUCAGGCCAGUUCUGGCCCAGACCAAAUGUUUGGGUCGGGUCCGGCCCCCAAAAAGGAGAGAAAGAAAGUAUGUUGGGCCGAUAUCGGCCCAAUCUUUUUGGGGCCUAUAUCGGCCCACUGUUUCUGGGUUUAUGUCUGGCCCAGUCAUCUGGGCCGGCCCAGCCCACCUGUUUUAAUAAUAUUUAUUUAAUAAAUAAUAUUAUAUUAUAUAUUUCUUUUAAAAAAAAAAACGAAAAAUUCCAAAAAAAUUUCAAAAAUCCUUUGAAAAAAAUUGUGAUUUUCUCAAAUAUUUUUUUUACCAAUUUUGCAUAAUAUUGGGUUGUAUAUUUACACUGUAAAAUACAAAUCAUGUAUUAAAAUACCUGGUUUUCUUUGAAAUAUUUCAAAAAAAAGAAAAUUAAAACAUUCUCAAAAAGAAAAAAUAUUUUAUUGCAUACGGCCAAAUCCUAAAAUUUUUCCAAGCAUAUUUUUCAUAUAAAAAAACGAAAACAAAAAUUGCAUCUUUUUGAUGUUUAAAAAAUCCAAAAAUGGAUAUCGUAACCAAUUUAUGAUUAUCCACUAGGAUUUGGUCAACAUGUCAAAAACCUUUUUCUAAUUUUUUUAGGGUCCAGAUGUAGACUUUAAUAUUUAUGGGUGUAAAAUUACACGAUAAAAUACACCCUCAAGUAUUAAAGAUACAAGGUGUAAAAAUACGAUGCUAAAAUUCAGACUUUAAAACUGUUAGGAUUUAACCCAAUAAGGUAGAGACUUUCUCAUGAAGAGAGAUUUGCCUUGAGCCUUAGAAAAGACCAACGAAUAGAAACCCAACUUGGAAAAAAACAAUCAAACAAUAAUGCAGCUUACCUUAAGUAGGGUGCAUUAGGGGUGAUGCAUCUUCCCCUUGCACAACCAGUCCCUUACUCAGACUCUCGCAGACCAUAGGUUCCUAGUGACCAUAAUACUAGGUGGUGACUCCUGAAUCUUAAUCAUAAUUUUAUGAUUAAAUCCAAAAAAAUCUUCCUAACACACAACACACCUCACAUAGGAGGCACGACAGAAAGCCUUCUUUGUCGCCAGACGACAUCGCACCGGCUCUUGCGCAUCCUGCGACAAAGAUAAUUUAAAAAAAAAACCAUAAUAAAAAAAUUAUGUGGGAAAAGACUGUAACAAUCCACAGUUAAAAAAAAAAAAAACUAAAUUUCUAACCAGCUUAAUAUAUAUAUAAAAAAAAAAAAAGUCUUCGGUGGCGAUUGAUAGCUAUGCGAUGAACUACUCAAAAUGCUAGAACAAUUGCAAAUCCCAGUUGCUAUGUAAUGGAACUUCCAGGCUAAGGCUCCUUUAAAUUACCUGCACGCCCGGCCUAGGAAAUUAUUAUUCUAAUUAUUCAACGACGACUUCAAGACUUGGCUGGCGUCGGGUGAUGACGAAGACAUUAUGACGUAGGUCUGCUGAAGUGGACCAAGUGUUCCAUGACAAUGCUGACUUCAGUUAUUUUUUAAUAUAUUUUUUUAAAAAUACAUCAAAAUAAUAUUUAUUAUUUUUUAAAAUUAAUUUUUGAUUUUAGUACAUUAAAAUAAUUUAAAAAUAUCAAAAAAAUAUAAAAUUUUUAAAAAACAUGAUUUAAUUGGAAAAAAAAAACAAAACCUCCUAGGGCUGUUUUAUUAUUAUCCUCGUUCCUCGAACUGUCUAAAUUAACAAGGAUACCCGCACUGCCUAAUUUCCCGGUCGUCAACGGUGGCGCCUCAUUCGAUAAUGGGGUAUCCUUUGGUAGGGCUGUUUUGUUUUAUUGUUAACUUUGUUUAGAAUUUUUCUUAUCAACCUGGUGGGGCCGGCCAUUGAGAAGUGGGUCUAGAAAAUUUGAUGCUGUCGAGAAAGGCCGUAGAUUCUAAACUUCGAUCUUAUCCAUGGAAUUAUAAAAAACAAUUAUUAAUUCAUGCACAUCAAAAAAGAUUCUAUAAGAUAAUAAUAAAGGCGAGGAGGUUGGCACAUACACGCGCGAGACCACGAAGCAACGUUGUUGGCUUUUGCUACCAGAAAAUGGAAAUCCAGUUAUACUUUACAGAUCAACUAAUGAUUUCACGAGAAUUAAGAAGGAAAGCAUUAAAUUUAUGGAAAUCUUUUCUUGGCAUGUGAGGGGAACGAGUCAGCAGUCUGGGUACAGUUGUUGGCUUUUGCUAACUUCUCCUGGCUAGCCAUUAAUCCUAUCCGUCUUUGGCCUCUCGUGAACAUGCGUUCUUUUUUAAAAAUAUUUUUUAUUUAAAAAUUAUUUUGGAUAUUAAUUUAUCAAAAUAAUCUGAAAAUAUUAAAAAAAAUUAAUUUUAAAAAAAUUAAAAUUAAAAUUUUAUUAAAAAUACUUUUAAAAUACAAAAACAAACACUAUAUAUAUAUAUAUAUAUAUAUAUAUAUAUAUAUAUAUAUAUAUAUAUAUAUAUAUAUAUGUUCUUCCACCAAAACAGGAUCCACCCUCUAGAACCCUUCAAAUAACUGCCAUGAACCCAAUUUCCACUUGCUCGAUUUCAUUUAUCAAGGACAUAUCAGUUACGAAAGAAAUGACAUUUCUAUUGGAUGGAUUUGUCUUGCUUAGCUCUGAGUUUAGAGUAAUGCUGCUUUCUUGAUUCUGAAAUCCGUCUCAACAGGUAAUGUGAGAAGGCAAAGAGGGGGGAAGAAGACUAUCCAGUUGCUUGGAUUGGACACUCUUGUUCCUUUUACGGUGGAGAUAGAAAGGUUUCAUAGUAUAAUGUUGCUUAAGUCACAAUCAGCCCUCUUUUUUUUUUAAUCUGCAAAACAAUUACAGGAAUAUUUGCACCAGAGGUGAAGCUGCUGCUGCUUCAUCCAGCCAGAAAGAAACAAAGAGAGUGGCACAAUGGAACCAUGCAUGCCACCUCUUCCCAAUUUUUUGACAGGACUGAUAAGCAUUUUCCUCUACGAAUGACGAAAACCUCAUAACAAGUGAUGGAGAUUUGAGAACAACAAGCAACCAUGGAUUCCCAAGUUUCAAAUGGGUCACAGGAUUCACAUAAACUUAGCCAAUCCGGUUAUUUAUUUUUGGUAUCGAAAUACAGGACAUGAAAAUCCUUCAGCAACACACCUCUUAAUUACAUAUCAAUAACAGGAAAGACAUCCACAUCUUCACACACAUGCAACAAACACCUUACAUCGCACGCUUCUUAUAGCAGAAAGCCCAUAAAACCAGAUACAAAGAGCGCUUGCCCGCUUAAGCUCUGCGGCACACAUCUCCAUCGCAGUUCCAUCCUUCCUUUCCCUUUGCCUUCUCCUCAAGCUCCUCCUCCAUUUGCUUUAGAUGUUCCUCGGUAAAUGGAAAAGCAUCUGCCCCGUAAGCUGUCAAGUGCAUCCGAGCUUCCUUGGUAAUGGUCCGGCCACUUGGGCCAAUCGCUACAGCUGCAGGAAUGCCUUGAAUUUUGAAUUUCCGACUCAGGAUUUGUUUCCUUUCAUCACCAAAUGGAAGGGCUAACCAAGGCAUUUCUGAAUAGAACUCGUCAAAGGUGGAUUGAUCUCUGUCGCUUGAGAUGAAGAUCACCUCAAAUGCGUUGUCUUUUCUUUUAAUUGUGUGGUAUGCUUCAAUUAGCUUGGGUAAAAAGGCACGACAAGGAGGGCACCAUUGAGCUGAGAAGUAAAGAAGAAUGUUCUUUCCAACUAGAUCGGACACUGGGACCUAAUCAAAGAGUAAACCAUUUGAAUGAUAAAAAAAACCUUUGCUAAUGAAUUCAAUUCGUGAUAAUAAGAAAGUUAUUGAAAGUAAUGCAAUAACAACAUGCGAGGUUAGCAUAGAACAAAAAAAAUUACCUUGGAGCCACUUUUGCCAAUCACAAAAUCAUUUUCCCCAUUAACCAAAACUGACUCAAGCGUCUGCGAUUCCAGUUUUGCCUUUUCAAUUGCAGCUAGCUCGUCAAGCUUUUCCGGUGUAAAUGGGUAGGCUUCGAUACCAUGUUCUUCGAUUAGUUCAGCUACAUUUGGGUUCAAAGUCUUCCCAUCUUGGCCAAUUAUAACAAGAUUAGGAAUGGUUCUAAGUUCAAAAUACCGCACUAGCUUCUCGCAGCUCUUGUCCUUCAAUGGCAAUGCCAACCAAGGCAUUGUCUCAAAACUCUCUUUGAAGUCUUCUUCUUCGUCGUCUAGAGAUAGUAGGACUACUUCAAAGUUCUCUCCUUUUUCCUUGAGCGUCUUAUACAAUUCCACUAGUUUAGGAGUGAAUUCACCGCACAUCCUAUGAGCAUGGACUGAAAAAUACAAGCCAACCAAUUUUCCUUCAAGGUCCGACACAGGGAUCUGCCAUUACAGAUAGCAAAAAUGUGAAUUAUGGCAUCAUCAAUUCAAUUUCAAAACUAGCUAAUUGAAUGAACCAUCUACCUUUUUUCCAUCAUUUGAAAUCACAUAAUCACGUGAGCUUGAAACCAAGAUAGAGCUUAUGGUUUGAUUCUUCUUAGCAUUCUCUUUAAGGAAAUUCAGUCUAUCAAGGUUGAACGGAUACCCAUCCACGCCAUGUUCCUUGACAGUGCUGACUCCAUUAUUAUCGCAGGAAACCUUACCAUUAGUAUCAAAAAUGACAAGUCUAGGGAUCCCUCUUACUUUGAACACUUCCUUAAGACGUUGGCGGGUCUCGGUUUCAGAGAAGGGAAUAGCAAGCCAUGGCAUUUCGGAGAAGUACGUGUUGAAGGAUUCAUCGUCUCCAUCAGAAGAAAUGAAGACCACCUCAAAGUCCCCUUUGGAUGAUAGGUGUUCAUAGACUUCUACCAACAAUGGAGUGAAAUUACGGCAUGGGCCGCACCACGAACCAGAGAAAUAGAAUCCCACAAUCUUCCCAACCAAAUCGCUGACCUUGACCUAAAAAUUAAUGUCGAACAUUAUCAGAAAAAAACAUCAGCCCUUGACGAAUCAAAAUCUUAUUCAUGGUUUCUUUCUCUUGCCAGUGAGAAGCAACAAAAAAAAGAGCCUUUUCUUAAUCAUAAAAGCUUCACAAAUUGGUCAUAAAUUUGUUCUUCAGCAAGGCUUGCAGUCUAAUUUAAACAUGAUAUUCAUCUUAAUUACUAGAAAAACCUACAAGUUCAUAUAAAAAAAGACGUCAACUUAUAAUAAGACAAGAAGAAGUAGAAUUGAAUAAGAUCAGAUCGAGGAACUCAUAUGCUAAAAGCAGUACCUGAUCACCAUUGUUGCGGAUGAGAAAGUCCCUCUCUUCUGAAGAAAGAAGCGUUGAAAGGUCGAGGGAAACGUCUUCGGUGGCCAUAGUUAGCUAUGUGAUGAACUACUCAAAAGGCUAGAACAAUUGCCAAUCCCAGUUGCUAUGUAAUGGAACUUCCAGGCUAAGGCUCCUUUAAAUUACCUACACGCCCGGCCUAGGAAAUUAUUGUUCUAAUAAUUCAACGACGACUUCAAGACUUGGCUGGCGUCGGGUGAUGACGAAGACAUUAUGACGUAGGUCUGCUGAAGUUGUUGGUAUUAGCAUUAUCACGGGCUUUUACAACUCUCCUCUUGCUUUUUUUUUUUUUUUAAUCUCUUUUUUUUUGUUUUUGUUUGUAUUCUAGUUUUAUCCAUGGUUUGAUAAAAAUUUUUGUGAGUUUGUUAUUAAAUGUAUUUUGUGUUUUAUCUUUUUAAUAAAAUCUUUAUAUUUCUUGAUACAAAAAAAUCCUUAAUUGGUUUUUUUAAUUAAAAAAUUAUUCUCUUUUGUUUUUGAUGCAUUUGAAAAUGAAUUUUUCUAUCAAUUUUUUUUUCUAAUAUAAAUCAAUAAUCAUAUGUAAAGCAUAGUUGAAAUGAACGAACGAACAAACAAACUAUAUACAUGACAUCUUACAUAGGAAGCUUAGGAAAGGGUGAAGGCCAAGAAUAAUGUAAAAUAAAACCUAUGACUCCACUACCAAUAAUGUAAAAAUAAUUAUUGAGAAAAAUAAAUCAUAAAAAUAUACUUCCAGCUCCAGUCAUCCAAAGCUUCUUAAGUCUCAGAAAAAAAAAACAUUUAACACAAACCUCAAUAAAAUUCAUAUGCUAAUUAAAUUCAGAUUUUUGUAACGUAGUCUAUUUUCUAUCAAAUGUGACUUGAUAAUAAUCACAUGCAAUUUAAUAGACAGGCUAAAAUCCAAACUUGAUAUAGUUCUUGGGUUAUAAUAGAGUUUUUCAAUAAUAAAACUCUUAACUUCUUUUUUUUAAAAAAAUAAUGAUAUUGCAUAUAUUUAAUAAUUAUAAAUAAAAUUAUAUUGUGUAUUUGAGCCAUGUCAGGACUCUAUUUCAAUAAAGAGACCCUAUAUUUUCAGGGGAGAAAAAAAGAGUUUUUAAAUGCAAUACUUUGUCAUAAGUCGUGACUUUUCCACACUCAAAAGGGCACCAUACAUAUAUGUCAUUAUACUUUAUCUCCAAACGUAAUUAAAUUAGUCAAUUAAUUGUAAGUGAGGGAAGUUAAUGAAUUUCCACUCUAAUUAAAAUGUUCAAAUUCAUUAUUCGCUUUCAACUUUAUCCUGAUUAAAUCAGGUUAAGUAGAUGACUUUCUUCAUUCGCGGGUAUCCACCAGAUAUCCUAAUCUAUUUUUUAAUUAAUUUUAUAAAAAUCAAACCCAAAUUUAAAAAAAAAAAUCCUUUAUUUAUGAAUCGUAAAACUAUGAAAUUAAAUUAAAUAUAAAACCAAGAGAUCUGGUUAGUUUAGUGUUGUUGCAAUGUGGACAAAAACUCAAAAUAUCACGGAUUGAAAUAGUGUUGUUUGUUUUUAAAAACAUUUUCAUUAUAGUCACCAAACACUUUUUAAAAUUUCUUUUAUCUUUGAAAUUUCAUUAUAAUAAUCAAUUACACCCAGUCUUUCACUGUAUAUGGGAACGAAAAUCAGCAUUUUUUUUUGUACAACUUUCUUUUCAUAACGUAAAGUAAAUCCAUCUCUUCAAUCCGAUCAAGUUGACGACAAAAUGCAAAAGAACAAAACAUAGCAUUAGCAUCCAAGUUGAUUUGUUUGGAAUUACAAGUAGAUGUGAGAAUGUGGGGUCAUUUCUUGAUUGGGAUAUUUCAGGGAAAAGGAAAAUAAUUAGAAAAAACAGUGGUGUGCUAAGAUGAAGAUGGAGGCUAGGAGCACUUACCGGUGCGAAGGAGAGACACGAAGGCCUAAAAUGUAAGCAACUUUGGUGUAAACAGGGACGGGUUUGGAAAGGUCAUUAUUAUUGAUGACAUUGUAGGAGUAGUUGUUUUUCACAGUUCUUGAAAGCUUUUUGCCACGUGUAACGGUUUUGAUGCAACCUCUUAUCAUCCCCACUAUCUCUUCACCUAUCCCCAAUGCUGUUUUUUUUUUUUUGAAAAAUUAAAUGUCAUUAUAUUAGAGUGAUGUUCAAAAUAGAAUCUUAUUUUAUUGCAUAAAAAAAUUUAAGACUUUAAGACGGGGGUUGACAGUUAGCAAUAUCAAAGAACCAUCUUAACCCAAUAGCUUAAGCUUUCAAGUGACGUCCCAAGAUAUGAUUUAUAGUAUUCUCUAACACACCCCCUCAAGUAAAAGCUCUUUGGGCUUGAAACUUGCACAGACCCACAUUACCUUGUGCUUAAUUUUUAUCAAAUAAAUAGGGAUGGUGAGAUUCGAACUCGUGACCGCUUGAUUAUCAAGGCUCUGAUACCAUGUCAAUGAACCAUCUCAACCCAAUAGCUUAAGCUUUCAUGUGAGGUCCCAGAAUAUGAUUUAUAUUAUUCUCUAACGAGUAAGAAUUUAAGGUUUUUUUAUUUGAUAAAUGUUCAUUUAACAUCAUUUUACUUUGAAAAAUUUAUGUUUUGAUACAAAACUCUAUUUUAAUCACAUUUCAGAUUAUAAGUUUUAGAAAAAAGAAAAAAAUUCAUUAAAAAUAGCGAAAGAGAGAGAAACACAUACACUGACAAGGUUUUGUUUGUGAAAAUAGCUUAAAUGUGUGUCAAUAUGUUAUUCUUGACAAGAAGAGUGCUACUAUAAUGUUUUUAAGCUUUAUAUUGUCAAAAAAGAUAAAUCGAGGUUGAAAGAGUUAUUUUUAAGUUAAACUUUGUGUUUUAAAAUUAUUUUAGAGUUUCUUUUUAGUUGAUGGAUUAGUUUAGAGGCAAUUUAAAAGUAUUUAUAAGAUGUUUUUAGAUAAAAACAUAUUAAAAAAUAGAAUUUUAAAUAAAAAACUCCAACCCAAUUCUUUAACCACUUCUCUAUUAUAUAAAAAAAAAAUAAAGCAAAUGAUGCGACAAAAAAAUAAAUCAAGCAAAUGAUUGUCAUUUGUUUUAUAAAAAAAAUAAAAUAAAGGACAAAUACUAUGUCAUCCAUCAAAGAAAAAAUAAAAUGGCUCUCAUCUUUUGGAUAAGCAUGCCGAGUCACUUGGCCCCACAAACAUGGCUUGUUUUUAGCUUCUCUUUUUUUUUUUUUAUGAAUCUUUAUCCUUGAGUUUUAAUUUUAUUUCAUUAAAAUUAAUUAUUUAAAAACACAUAAGGAUAUUAUUUUAGUAAAUACUUAAAUUAUUAAGAAUAUAUACGAAAUAUUAUUUUAUUAGAUAUCAUUUAAUUUUUAUUUUAUUUUAAAAUAAAAUUAUAAUGUUUUUUUUAUAAUAUUAGUAAGAGAUUUUUUUGGACUGAUAUUUCUUAUCUUCGCAUAUUCGCUGUCAAAGACUAUAAUAAUAGAUUCCAUGGAAAACAUUAAGGGUGUGAUUCAACUACUAAAUGAUAAUCGACUAAAAGAGUGUUUGGAGUCCACCCGUAUUUUUAAAAUAUUUUAAUUUUUUUAAUAAAAAUUAAUAUUUUUUUAUAUUUUGGAUUGUUUUAAUGCAUUAAUUUUAAAAAUAAUUUUUAAAAAAUAAAAAAAUAUUAUUUUGAUACAUUUCAGAAUGAAAAACACUUUGAAAAGCAAUCAUAACCACGCUCCCAAACAAGACAUGUUUAAAAAUGUGAUAGAAGUUGAGUUUUAAAAUAUUUUUUACUCAGAAAUAUAUUAAAAUAUAUAUUUUUUAAUUUUAAAAAAUUUAUUUUUGAUAUCAAUAUAAUAAAACAAUUCAACAAUACUAAAAAAAAAAAUUAAAUUUUAAACAAAUAAUAUUUUGCUUCAUUGAGCUAUAAACAAAAUAAUCAAAUUUUUAAUCUAUUUGUCACAUCAUGAAACAUGAUGAUCAUUAAUUAGCAAACACCACCAUGUAGGAAUCACAUGUGACACUUUAAAUUCAUCAUACCAAAUUGAUCAAAUUAUAACGUAAUCCCUAUAUUUUUAAGAAAUUAAUAGCUCACUCCCUUUAUUUAAAAGAAGCCAUAUUUUACCUCCCAUGUUAUCAUUUCCAUUUACUAUAACUUAGUUCUUCCUUUAGUUUUACAUUAUAAAAGUGCUAAACCAUUACUUUAGGUAUUAGUACAAAAAAAGUAUAUAUUAACGGAUUGACGGUCAAACCUUCUCAAUUGAGUAACUUUUUUUAUUUUUUUUUAUUAACAUGGGUAUUCGGGACAGUUUACGCGCAUCUUGACUAAUCCCAUAAACUCUGAAGUUAAUAAUCAUGUAAGCCUCCAGUAACUAUUAUAUUAGCAACCACAAGAUUUGAACCUGAGACCACAGGGAGAGUAAACCCCUUGGUCACCUACUAGAUGAUUAACUUUUUUUUUUAAAAAAAAACAGAAGGACUAACAUAUUGGUUUAUUGAGAAUACGAGGAUUCAAUUAUAAUUUACUUCAGGAAACAAAUAUGAUGCUAUUGACAUCCCCACAAGUGAACUGGCACAAUUAUUGUUUAUAUAAAAUUUCAAAAUGAUUUAUUCUUAAUUUUAACAUUUUAUUUUUAAAAUUUUAUUGUAAUGAAGUGACAGAGUAUGCUAAGAGUAUACCAAAAUAAAACACUGUUGUUUUAAUAUAAAAAUUAAUUUACAGGUUGACUGGAUAGCCUUAUAACCUAGAUGUUUUUCGAAGUUAGUUUUGAAUGAAUGGAGUGUUAUUAGUUAGUUCAGCGUGAUAAUUGGACUGAAAAUCUUUCGUUCUAAAUUAUCAACCAUUCAGAAUUGUUUUGUGCGUGAGGAUGCCAAAUUACCAAAACUAAACCCUAUUUAUAAUCCAUCACCUAUCAAUAGUGAUGUAAGAGUUCCAGCUUGUUUUCUGCAGCUGUGCCAAAACCUGGAGGGUCUAUACUAGCCCAGCAGUCCUUCCCCCGUCGUAAGGUAAGAGCCCAGCACCAGCAGUGUCCUUCCUCCGUCGUAGAGGGGUCCAUACACGAGAUGGCCAGAGAUAGUAAGUGAUUUCGAAAUAUUACAUUUCAGAUUAAGGUUGUCAAUUCCGUUCCGUUUCGCCCGGAAUGACCGAAACAUUCUAUACCAAUUCAAAAAACGAAACAAAACGGAACAAAUUUCAUCUCAUUUUAAAUCUCGGUCCGUUCCGGAUUUUUCGGCUAAAUUCCACCCGGAACGUUCCUGUUUCAUUCCACAUGUUCCGUUCCGCUCUUGAAAAGUCAUUGAAUCAAAUUGAACCUUGUUCAAUUUAAUUAAUUAAACCACCCAAUUAUAAAAAGUUUUUUUUCAUUAUAAUUUUCAAUAACAAUGAUAUUAAUAAUAAUAUUGAAAAUUAUUAUUACUAUUUUCAUUAACAAUGAUAUUAAUUUUUUAAAAUUAGAUUUAUCACUAAUAUAUAUGGUUUAUAUUCAUGUUGUUUUUUUCAUGUUUAUACUUUGUAGGAAUUUGAGCAAAAUAAAGGAUGCUUUAGAUUUCAUUAGCCUUGAUAAUAUUAACCUAGCUUUAUAUUUAAAAUAUUUGUGUUAAAACAUUUUAUUUUCAUAAUAUUUUGAUAUUUUGUUUAAGUUGAAUUACUUUAAGUUAAAGAUCUAUUUAAUCUUGACUAUUUAGAAAUAUUUUAAAUUUUAAAAUUAUAUUUGUUUGGCAUUGUGUUUGUAUUGCAUAAUUUAUAAUUAAUUUAUCUUGAAUUUGAAUUAUGUUUGUUGAAUAUAUAUAUAUAUAUAUAUAUAUGAACAGUACAACCCCGAAACGGCACGCCGAAACACUCCGAAACUGAAACAUUCCAUUCCAAUUGAAAAACGAAACAUCUAUCAAAACAGAAUUGACAACCUUGUUUCAGACUGCAACAAAUGAUAAGGUUUUGUGGCUGUCAUGGCGAAGGCAAAUUAAAGCACAUGAGAUUCAGUGGUGAGAAGCUAUGGAAAGUGGCAAAAAGAAACUGCGAGAACAUGAAACACGCAUUUGAACAUGAAAAAGUAAAUAAGCUGAACAUAAUUAAUGGGCCAUAGAAGCGAAGGUUUUUUCAAUGGCUUCAAACUUUUUGGCAGCGUGCUUGAUUGUUGUCGCCGAAUUUCUUGGCAGUGUGCUUGCUUGAAUUGCGGAUGUAUCACAUGGAUGAUAUUUUCGUUCUUUCGAGGCAUCAAAUAAUAUGGUGUCACGAGAAUUAAGCAAAUAGAAAAGCAUUAAAUUUACGGAAAUCUUUUCCUGUGGUCUUGGUGUAGUUGUUGGCUUUGCUAACUUCUACAAUCAAAUAAUAUGAAUGAAGCUGGUUCUUCAUCCAGCCAAAUAGAAACAAAGAGAGCGGCACAAUGGCAUCAUGCAUAGCAUUUUCCUUUAGGAAUGACAAAAACCUCAUAUCAAGUGAUUGAGCUAUGAGAACAACCAUCAACCAUGGAUUCCCAAGUUUCAAAUGGGUCACAGGAUUCACAAAAACACACAGAGCUGUUUAUUUAUUUUUCGUAUCCAAAUACAGGACAUGAAAACCCUUCAGCUUCACACUUCUUAGAUACAUAACGAUAACAGGAGAGACAUCCCCACUAUAUUCACACACAUGCAACAAACAUCUUCCAUUGCAUACUUACUACAGCAGAAAGCCCAUAAAACCCGACACAAGCAGCGCUUGCCUGCUUAAGCUCUGCGGCACACAUCUCCAUCGCAGACCCUUCCUUCCUUUCCCUUUUCACUUCCAGUAUCUUCAUCUUCCUUCAAAGCACACUUAGGGUGAAGAUCAAAGUCACAUUGUUUGCAAAAGAAAGACCACCUAUAUCCCGUUUCCCCACAGCCAUCGCAACCGUAUGCACUGCGUUUAGUACGUAUCAGCUCAUGCUCAGUAUGUAGUUCGUGUUUCACUUUCUCUGGCCACCCCUUCGCCUUUUCCUCAAGCUCCUCCUCCAAUUGCUUUAGAUGUUCCUCGGUAAAUGGAAAAGCAUCUGCCCCGUAAGCUGUCAAGUGCAUCCGAGCUUCCUUGGUAACGGUCCGGCCACUUGGGCCAAUCGCUAAAGCUGCAGGAAUGCCUUGAAUUUUGAAUUUCCGACUCAGGAUUUGUUUCCUUCCAUCACCAAAUGGAAGGGCUAACCAAGGCAUUUCUGAAUAGAACUCGUCAAAGGUGGAUUGAUCUCUGUCGCUUGAGAUGAAGAUCACCUCAAAUGCGUUGUCUUUUCUUUUAAUUGUGUGGUAUGCUUCAAUUAGCUUGGGUAAAAAGGCACGACAUGGAGGGCACCAAUGAGCUGAGAAGUAAAGAAGAAUGUUCUUUCCAACUAGAUCGGACACUGGGACCUAAUCAAGAGCAAACCAUUUGAAUGAUAUAAAAAACCUUUGCUAAUGAAUUCAAUUCGUGAUCAUAAGAAAGUUAUUGAAAGUAAUGCAAUAACAUGCGAGGUUAGCAUAGAACAAAAAACAUUACCUUGGAGCCACUUUUGUCAAUCAAAAAAUCAUUUUCCCCAUUAACCAAAACUGACUCAAGCGUCUGCGAUUCCAGUUUUGCCUUUUCAAUUGCAGCUAGCUCGUCAAGCUUUUCCGGUGUAAAUGGGUAGGCUUCAAUACCAUGUUCUUCGAUUAGUUCAGCUACAUUUGGGUUCAAAGUCUUCCCAUCUUGGCCAAUUAUGACAAGAUUAGGAAUGGUUCUAAGUUCAAAAUACCGCACUAGCUUCUCGCAGCUCUUGUCCUUAAAAGGCAAUGCCAACCAAGGCAUUGUCUCAAAACUCUCUUUGAAGUCUUCUUCUUCGUCGUCUAGAGAUAGUAGGACUACUUCAAAGUUCUCUCUUUUUUCCUUGAGCGUCUUAUACAGUUCCACUAGUUUAGGAGUGAAUUCACGGCACAUCCUAUGAGCAUGGGCUGAAAAAUACAAGCCAACCAAUUUUCCUUCAAGGUCCGACACAGGGAUCUGCCAUUACAGAUAGCAAAAAUGUGAAUUAUGGCAUCAUCAAUUCAAUUUCAAAACUAGCUAAUUGAAUGAACCAUCUACCUUUUUUCCAUCAUUUGAAAUCACAUAAUCACGUGAGCUUGAAACCAAGAUAGAGCUUAUGGUUUGAUUCUUCUUAGCAUUCUCUUCUUGCUCUUUAAGGAAAUUCAGUCUAUCAAGGUUGAACGGAUACCCAUCCACGCCAUGUUCCUUGACAUGUCUGACUCCAUUAUCGCAGGAAACCUUACCAUUAGUAUCAAAAAUAACAAGUUUAGGGAUCCCUCUUACUUUGAACACUUCCUUAAGACGUUGGCGGGUCUCCGUAUCAGGGAAGGGAAUAGCAAGCCAAGGCAUUUCGGAGAAGUAUGUGUUGAAGGAUUCAUCGUCUCCGUCAGAAGAAACGAAGACGACCUCAAAGUCCCCUUUGGAUGAUAGUUGUUCAUAGACUUCUACCAACAAUGGAGUGAAAUUACGGCAUGGGCCGCACCACGAACCAGAGAAAUAGAAUCCCACAAUCUUCCCAACCAAAUUGCUGAACUUAACCUAAAAAUUAGUGUCGAGCAUAAUCAGAAAAAAAAAAAAAACAUUAGCCCAUAAAUUAAGAGGGUAAACAAAAACUGAGGCUUUUCUUAAUCAUAAAAGCUCUAGAAAUUGGUCAUAAACUUGUUCUUCAGCAAGGGUCGCACUCUAAUUUAAACAUGAUAUCCAUCUUAAUUACGAGAAAAAGUUUAAUAAGACAAGUAGAAGUAGAUCGCAUAAGACCAGAGAAAUCCAUAAGCUAAAAGCAGUACCUGGUCACCAUUGUUGCGGAUGAGAAAGUCCCUCUCUUCCGACGAAAGAAGGGAUGAAAGGUCGUGCGAAACGUCUUCGUUGGCCAUUGUUAAGUGAUGAACUACUCAAAAUGCUAUAACAAUUGCCGAUUCCAAACGCUAUUUAUUGGGACAAACUGGGAUGGUUCCUUUUAAGUUACUUGCACAGCACGCCUAGGGAAUUAUCAUACGUCAACGAUGACAUGUAAAUUUGGAUGGUGAUGCCAAAUUAAAACAUCAUUCUCCUUAUCUAAAUACCAUAGUUAUUAAACCCGGCCCGGGGGUUGACCCGGCCAAGGGACCGGGUCCCGGGUUUCAUGGGUCAACCCGGGUCAACCCGGAUUAACCCGGAAAAAUUAAAAAAAAUUAAAGUUUUAAUAUUUCAUAUGAAAAAAUCUAUGUAAAUAUAGAUUAUACAUAUUAUGAAGUUUAAAAUAAUAUUUUAAAAAGUUUUUUAUCCCACAUUGAAAAAACAUAACUUUUUUCUUAGAAACAUAGAGUAUAUAUACUAAUGAGUUUCAAAUCCCACAUUGAAAAGAUAAUAUAUUAUCCUUUUAAGUUGAAGUAUUUAAACCAAAAGGUUUUUUAUCCCACAUUGAAAAAACAUGAUUUUUUUCUUGGGAACAUAGAGUAUAUAUAUUAAUGGGUUUCAAAUCCCACAUUGAAAAAACAUGGUUUUUUUUUCAUGGGAACAUAGUGUAUAUAUAUGAAAGGGUUUCAAAUCCCACAUUGAAAAGAUAUCAUGUUAUCCUUUUAAGUUGAAGUAUUUAAACCAAAAAGUUUUUUAUCCCACAUUGAAAAAACAUGGUUUUUUUCAUGGGAACAUAGUGUAUAUAUAUGAAAGGGUUUCAAAUCCCACAUUGAAAAGAUACCAUGUUAUCCUUUUAAGUUGAAGUAUUUAAACCAAAAGGUUUUUUAUCCCACAUUGAAAAAACAUGAUUUUUUUCAUGGGAACAUAGUGUAUAUAUAUGAAAGGGUUUCAAAUCCCACAUUGGAAAGAUACUAUGUUAUUUUUUUAAGUUGAAGUAUUUAAACCAAAAGGUUUUUUAUCCCACAUUGAAAAAACAUGGUUUUUUUCAUGGGAACAUAGUGUAUAUAUAUGAAAGGGUUUCAAAUCCCACAUUGGAAAGAUACUAUGUUAUCCUUUUAAGUUGAAGUAUUUAAACCAAAAGGUUUUUUAUCCCACAUUGAAAAAACAUGAUUUUUUUCAUGGGAACAUAGUGUAUAUAUAUGAAAGGGCUUCAAAUCUCACAUUGAAAAGAUACUAUGUUAUCCUUUUAAGUUGAAAUAUUUAAACCAAAAGAUUUUUAUCCCACAUUGAAAAAACAUGGUUUUUUUCAUGGAAACAUAGAGUAUAUAUACUAAUGGGUUUCAAAUCCCACAUUUGAAAAAAAAAAAAAAAAAAAAAACCCGGGUCUCGUCCGGGUCACCCGGGUUCCGGGUUGACCCGCCGGGUCGCCCGGGUUUGGCCGGGCUGUUGCCACAGCCGGUCUUUUAUUAAACCCGGCCCGGUCCAGCCACCGGGUCGACCGGGUCCCGGGUCGACCCGCCGGGCCGGGCCGGGUUUAAUAACUAUGCUAAAUACCAGUAGGUUCGAGAAACUGGUAUUAAACAUGCUUUCCCACGUGCUUUUACACACCUCCUUUUGCUUUUUUGUUUAAAAAAGAAAAAGAAAAAGAAAAAAACAUAUUUUUUUUUUUUUAAUUUCUCUCUCUUUUGUUUUAUCCUUAUUUCUUUUCCUUUAAAGAUUCAUACAGUCACCCAGUCACUCUUCACUUUUUACCUUAUUAGUUUAUACAGCUGGGUCAGGCAAGGAUUUAGUCUAGCAGCCAUAACAUUGGGUCUCAUAUAGUUGCUUGUCUAAGCAUCUUGGAUCAUCAGGCAUGGAUUAGGUGUAACAGGCAAGCCAGUUCCAAUUCAUGGGUAUGGUAUAAUUACCCUCAUAAUUAUCACAUUGAGCUUGCCUCUGCAGGUCAACCAAAGAUCCGGGUAAUCUAGGACCUUAGUUAGGUAUAUUUAAUUUAAAAUUCAGGUCUGUAAUUGGCCUAAAUAAAACCGGUCAUCUUGUUAGGUUAACUCGGAAUUUGAUUGACCCAGUAAAACUCAAUAGAUACCUGUUUUUUUAAAAUAUAUUUUUUCUCUUAACUAGAGAUCCUUUUCUUUCAUAUUUUUUAGUUGGUUAUAACUUAUUUCAAAGUUCACUAUAUAAAUACUAGAAGAAUGUUUUUAUUUUUUUAAUGUGAGAUUUGAAGCACUGUAGUAUAUAUACUCUAUGUUUACAAGAAAAAAGUUAUGUUUUUUCAAUGUGGGAUAAAAAACCUUUUUGAUUUAAAUACUUCAACUUAAAAUAAUAUGAUAAUAUCUUUUAAAUGUGAGAUAAAAAAUCUUUUAAAAUAAUCUUUUAAAUUUAAUUAUUUACAACAUGUAUAGCCUAUAUCCACACAGAUUGUUUCUUAAUUUUUUUCAUAUGAAAUAUUAAAACCUCAUAUAUUUUUUUAAAAUUUUUCCAAGUUGACCCAGGUCAACCCGUGAAAUCCGGGUCUCGGCUCCUGGGCCGGGUUUGAUAACUAUGGGUGCAAUAAAAAUAUAACUUUAAAGAAUGCAAUUAAAAAAAAUAAAGUGACGUGACCGGUUAAAAAAAUAAAAACUAAAAAAAUGUACAGAACCUCAUUUUUAUUUUUAUUUUUGCUCAGGGAGCCUCUUUUAAAUAAUAUUGAUUUUUUUUGUUAUGUGUUUAAUUUUCGGAGUGGUUUUUUUGGUUCAUCUAUGGUUUUGUUUUUAUUUUUUAUAUAGAUAAAAUAUGUUUUUGAAAAUAAAAAAUGUUUAAAUUUAGAUGAUAUUUUUAAUGUGUGUAGUUUUACAUGUUAUUCUUUUUUUUUAUUCAAUCAAUUUAAUGUAUUAUUUUUCACGAUUCAAUAUAUUAAUCUACAUUUAUCUCUCGAUUUUUUAAGUUUUGUUUUUAGAUGUCAUAAAUAAUUUUUUAUUGAUUUAUUAGUGCACAUAAUUCUUAGUUUAUUUGAUUACUUAUGUGCAUCAACAUUUUGAUUUGUUAUAGUUUUUGAACUAUCAAAAUACAUUGAAAAAACCUGUAUAAAUAUUUUUUUAUAAAAAUAAAAAUAUUUAACUUACAGUAAAGCGGGACACGUAGCUAAUAAAUUCUAUUAAAUGAGUUAGCAAGGUAGAAAACAAACUUGUAAUAGAUUUGUGCACAUUGUCAUUUCACCAUAAGUUACAUUAGCUCUCAAAACUUUUACGUAGAAACUUAUAAUACUAGAACUAACCAAACAUACUACCAGAAAUGUACUAAUCUUGCAACAAAAUAAGAAUCAACACAUCAAAUUUCCUUAGUGCCUUUGAAACAUAAAAUGUAAAUUAUUAGGGCACAAUUAAUAAUAACUUAUAGGUAAUAAUUAAUCUUCAUCAAAUAUGCUAAAUAACAUAAAUCAACUUUGUCAAACAUAAUUAUUGUGAACAUUGAUAUUUUUUUUAGCCCUGUUUGUUUCAUGAAAAAUGGUUUUUUAGAAAUUAUUUUCCAAACUUUUCUGUGUUUAUUUGUCAUUAGAAAAAUUAAUCAACAAAAAAAACUUUCCAAUCAAAGAAAAAUUUAACUUUGUUUCUAGAAAAGUGUUUUUCUUUUAUUUUGGGUGGAAAACACUUUCUAGAAGUUGUGAAAAAUUUAGAAAUGUCUUGUUAUUUGCUGAUUAUAUCAAAUUUGAUCCUCAAACUUUUAAUUGUUAUAUAUUUUGUUUUGAUUUUUUUCUUUCAAUUUCAUCAUUUAGAAUUUGAUUUAAUUUGAUUUUUAUAUCAAUUUUGGUCUUUAUUUUUAUUAUUGUUAUUUGCUUUUCUCUUGUCAUUUUCUUAAUUGAAAUUUUUUUAUCUAUCAAAUCUAGUCCUUAUUUUUUUUAUUGUUAUUUAUUUUAUUUGAAAUAAUUUAUAAAAUUAUAUAUUUUUUUAAUUUCAUCAUCUUUCAAUGUUUUUAUUUGUUAGAUUUGAUCUCUAUUAUUUUGAUUGUUAUUUAUUUUAUUUGAGAUAAUUUAUGAAAUUAGAUUUUUUUAAUUUUAUUAUCAUUUAAAUUUUUAAUUUGUAAUAUUUGUUCCUUAUUAUUUUAAUAAACUUAAAAAAAAAUAAUUUAUUUUCCAGCUCAUUUUGCAUGAUAUAGUUAAAUACUAGAAAAUGUUUUUAAAUUUUUUUGUUUUAUGAUACUAUCAAAAAUCAAAAAAAUAAUUUACUUUUUAAAAAUUUAAUUUUCAAGAAAAUUACCUUUUUUAAAAAAAUAUAUGUUUUUAGCAAAGAAAGGGGUUAAUGUUAAAUUUUUUUAUAUAUGACAUGGGGGCAGAGUGCAAGCCAGCUAGCCGGAUAGUCUUUGGUGGAUGUUCUUUAUACGAUUUUUUUUAGAUGGAAAUCUGAGCUUUAUUGACCAUGUAUGUCUUGCCAAGUGGCUUCUUUUCUUUCCUUAACUGUCAUGUCUCAUUUGAUAAUUGGGAAUUCCUGUCAGGGCUUCUUUAUUUUAUUGUUAUAUUAGUUUGGUUUUGUGUUUUUUUAAUCAAGUUGGUGGGUCCAGAAAUUAUGAUGUCGUCAAGGUUCUUUCCUCGACUUGUCUCUAAUUCUUGAAUAUAUUAACAAAACUUUUAAAAUACGUAAAAAUUAAAUAUACUAUAAAUCAACAAACAAUUUAUUUGGAUUUAUUUUUUUAUAUAUAUAGACACACACACUGUAAAUCAAGACAUAAUUAACUAUGAACUUGCAUAGUUAUUUUACUAUAUAUUAAAACAUUUGGAAAAAACACUGGAGAUUUACUAUGAACACAAACACAUUGUUCUAUGAAAGACACUAUGUCAUAGAGUAUUUGCACUGUGGACGACACUGUAGCACCCUGGGAGCGUUCCUUUCCUUUGUUUUUAGUCAAGAAUUGCGGCUGGGGGUGUGACAUUCUUUGCCGAAAGCCGUUGGGUCUGCCUUUGGUAGCUGGACCUAACGCUGUUGGGUCUGGUUGACAAGUCAGACCCAAAACACUUCCAAAACAUGUCAAUAGCGUUGGGUCCUGCAUCCCAGCCAGACCCAACAGAGUAUUUGACUGUGGACACAGAGUGUUUGACUGUGGAUGACACUGUCUGUAGCGCCUGUCAGAGGCGUUAUCUUUUCUGUUUGUAAGUCAGAAAGGGUUGUUGGGUCGUUGCAGCAGGACCCAAUAGCUUUGGGUCCUGCUGGAACCAUUAGAGUUUGGUCUUGCCCUAGUAGGACCCAAGACUGUAAUUUUUUUUCCUUUUUCAUACGGGUAUGGCUGCGUAACCAGACCCAACAGCCAUACCCCAAUUAAAUUUCUUGGCCGUUACCUUCUCUAAUUUAAAUUUAUUUUUUAAAAUAAAUUGAUUGUACUGUGGACACCACUAUAGCACCUUCCCAGAUCGAUCCCAGCUUUAUCAUCUACACACGCACGCACAUGCACUUUUUUCCUUUGUCGACAAGGAAUUAAAGUUGAUCAAUGCAAGAAAGUAGUAAGAUCACUGACAUCGGCAUACGAAGAUUGUAAAAAAAAUUGAUUUCCUUUGGUGGAUGGAUUGGGAAUCCAUGUUAUCACAUAUGUGAGAAUUCAAUCCCGCAUGCCUCUGUACAUUGUAAAUAUAUAUCUUUUUCACUACAGUAUAACACCACCAUUGAAUAUUAAUGGAAGACCAUUGAUCAAUAAGGACGACUGGCUUCCAAACCCAGUAGCCAUACCUAAUUAAAUUUCUUUGUCGUUGCCUUCUCUGACUUAAAUUUAUUUCUUAAAAUAAAUUGAUGAUAUUUUUUUUUAUAUUGUAUCAAAGUUGUGUGAUGAUAAUUUUUUUUUCCAUUUCAAGUUGGGUUGAAUUUCCUAAUUAAAUCAUGUUUGAUUUUGCGUUUCAGAAAUUCUUUGAAAUUUUUUUGACAAUUUUUAAGUUUUUUUCUUUGCUUCAAAUUAAUAUUUUUGUUAUGUUUUUGUAUUUUUUUAAAAAAAUAUAUGUUGAGAUUUUGUCUGGCUGGGAUGUUAGACCAAGAAAUUUUUUAAUUUUUCAAUUUUUUUCUUUACUUCAAAAUAAUAUUUUCUUCAUGUUUUUGUAUUAUUUUUUAAAUAAUUUUUUUUAAAAAAUAUAUAUUGAUAUUGUGUCUGGUUGAGAGGUGAGAACCAAGAAAUUUAAAUUUUUUUAAUUUUUUCUUUAUUUUAAAUUAAUAUUCUUUUGAUAUUUUUGUAUUAUUUUUCAAAAAAUUAUACUGAAAUUGGGUCUGGCCGCGUAGCCAGAUCCAUGGCUGCGUUGGCCCCUGCCUUCCAGCAUGACCCAACAGCGUUGCCCACUACUCAUAAUAGGACUCAACGCUUAAUUGGACCCUGCUGCCUCCAUGCCCAACAACUUUUGCAACUAGGACCCAACAACGGUGGGCUCGGUCUCCGAGCAGGACCCAAUAUGCGUUGCCAGCCUGGGCGAUUGGGUCCUUUCCGCUGAAGGCACUUGACUGUGUAGCAAGCAUCGAAAACACAAGCUCAGUAGCAAUUCAUUUUUGCAACUAGACAGGCUAUAAACAAGCCUAUAAGCCCUUUUUUCUCUUAAAGAGAGAGAUUCAUACUUAUCAAUAUUACAAGGGAAAGAAAAGAUCCGAAACCGAAAAGGGAUUAUCUUGAUUUGAUUGCUUUCUAAAUAGGAUGUGCAUUUCUCCUAGAACCAGUUGGCUUACAGGCUUACAGGGAACCAAAAAUGCUUGGAAGUGACAAUUAGAUUUCUCUUAUUUAAAUUUAUUUUUCAAAAUAAAUUGAUGAGACUUUUAUUAUAUUGAUUAAAAGUUGGGUGAUGAUUUUUUUUUUCAUUUCAAGUUGGGUUGAAUUUUCUAAUUAAAUCAUGUUUGAUUUUGCGUUUCAAAAUUUUUUUGAAAUUUUUUGGAUAAUUUUUAUUUUUUUUUCUUUACUUCAAAUUAAUAUUUUUUUUUUAUGUUUUUGUAUUAUUUUUUAUAAAAAAAAUAUGUUGAGAUUGUCUCUGACUCGAAGCCAGACCCAAGAAAUUUUAAAAUUUCAAUUUUUUUCUUUACUUCAAAAUAAUAUUUUUUUUGAUGUUUUUGUAUUAUUUUUAAAAUAUAUUAUCUAAAAACAUAUAUUGAGAUUGUGUCUGGAUGAGAGGGAAGACCCAAGAAAUUUAAUUUUUUUUUUCUUUACUUCAAAUUAAUAUUCUUUUGAUACUUUGGUAUUAUGUUUUUAAAUAUCAUUUUAAAAACAAUUAUGUUAAGAUUAGGUCUGGUUGCGUCACCAGACCCAUGGCAGCAGUGGGCCCUGCCUACAAGCAGAACCCACCGCUACUAGGUCCUUCUGUCAAGCAUGACUCAAUGAUGUUGGGCCCUGCUGCCCAGCAGCGAUGGGCCACCCUCCAGGACCUAUUAGCUUUGGGUCUUGCGGCCAGCACGACCCAUCAAAAAGCAUUGGGUCUUGCUGGGGGCAGGACCCAAUAAGCCAAUACUGUAAUGUGUUUUUCUUUUCUCUUAUUUUUUUUCACAGGGUAAAGAGGAAAUAUUAUUAUUAUAUUAUUAUGUUAUUGUUAUUGUUAUUGUUAUUCUUAUCAUUAAUAAAUUCAAAGAAACAAAAUUAUUACGAUUGAAGAAAAACCAUAAAUUUUAUUUAAAGAGAUUAAAAAAUAUAAAAACUUGAGUCAGACAAGUUUAACAUUAUUAUUAGUAUUAUAAAUAUUAUUAUUUUUAUUAUAGGUAAUACUAUUAAUAUAAUAAUUAAUAAAUUUGAAAAAAAUAUCAUUAAUAUUGAAAAAUAACCAUGGAUUUGAUUUGAAUGUUAAAAUUAAAAAUUAUUAUUAUUAUUAUUAACUUGGGUUUGGCAUCCCCUUCUAAACUUGAGAAACUUGGGGCACGAAAGGGACACAUGAUCGAAGUUGCUUGGGAGAGGCAAGAGCGCGGAUUCAAGUCCCUUAGGUCUUGCAGCCGCGCCUGACCCACCAUAUUUGGGUUAGGUGUUUGGAGCAAAGCUUGGGUCUGGCUGCAAUGCCAGACCCAAGAGCGUUGAGUCUGGCUGAAAGGACGGACCCCAAGCUCAGGGGUCUUUCUUUUUAAAUAGACCCAAUGCUCUUGCGAGCUGGACCCAUUAAAGUUAAAACAUGCUGCCACCAGAGCCCAGCAGCAGUGGCCCUGCUGCCAGCCCCACCUGCCUAGCAAGACCCAAUGUUGUUGGGUCCUUCUGUUAAGCAUGACCCAAUGAUGUUGGGCCCAGAUGGGUACCCAGCUACUGGGUCAUUCUGCCGAGCAUGACCCAAUGAUGCUGUAACUUUAAUGCGUUCGGAUUGCAGCCAGAUCCAAUGCUCUUGGGUCUAACAUUAAUAAGGGGCGCAAAGCUCUUGGGUCUGAUGUUGCAGCCAGACCCACUUACUCUUUGAUAAGUUUAAUAUUGUUAUGAAUAUUAAAAAUAUUAUUAUUUGUAUUAGAAAUAUUCUUAUUUUUAUUAUAAUUAAUAUAGUAAUUAACAAAUUUGAAAAACAAAUUUAAUAUUGAAAAACAACUAUAGAUUUGAUUUAAAGGGUAAACUUAAAAAUUAUUAUUAUUAUUAUUAUUAUUAUUAUUAUUAUUAUCAUCAUUAAUAAAUUUUUUUAAAAAAUUAUUAUUGUGGAAGAAAAACCAUAAUUGUUUUGUGAAUAGAUUAAAAAAAAUAAAAACUUGGGUCAGACAAGUUAUAUAUUAUUAUUAAUAUUAUAAAUAUUUUUUUAAAAAAAACUAUAUUGAGAUUGUGUCUGGCUGAGUAGUGAGACCCAAGAAAUUUUAAAAUUUUUAUUUUUUUUCUUUACUUCAAAUUAAUAUUCUUUUUAUAUUUUUGUAUUAUUUCUAAAAAAAUUAUACUUAUUAUAUAUUAUAUUAUAUAUGUACAUAUUUUUAUUUUCUAUAUUAAAACGCGUUAUCUUUGUUGUUUGUAAGUAAAAAAUUACGGCGGAUUAAUGGAUCCUGCUACCACCAGGACCUAAUAGCGUGAGACCCUGUUGCGAGUAGGAUCCCAUUGGCGUGAGGUUCUAUUGCCUGCAAGAUCCCAUAGUGCUGGGUCCUUUAGGACCCAUUAGUGUUGGAUCCUGCAAGACCCAUCAGCUUUGGGUCCUGCGGCAAUCAAAACCCAUAAAAAAGUGUUGGUCUUGCCACCAGCAGAACCCAAUACUGUAAUGUGUUUUUCUUUUUUCUUAUUUUUUUCUUAAAGGGUAAAGAGGAAAUAUUAUUAUUAUAUUAUUGUUAUUGUUAUUGUUCUUUUUAUCAUUAAUAAAUUCAAAGAGAAAAAUGAUUACUAUUGAAGAAAAACCAUAAAUUUUAUUUGAAGAGAUUAAAAACAUAAAAACUUGGGUCAGGCAAGUUUAACAUUAUUAUUAAUAUUCUAAAUAUUAUUAUUUUUAUUAUAGUUAAUAUUAUUAGUAUAAUAAUUAAUAAAUUUGAAAACAAAUAUCAUUAAUAUUGAAAAACAACCAUAGAUUUGAUUUGAAGGGUAAAAUUAAAAAUUAUUAUUAUUAUCAUCAUUAAUAAAUUUGAAAAACAAUAUUAUUACUAUCAAAUAAAAAUAAUAAAUUUUAUUUAAAGGGAUUAAAAACUAUAAAAACUUGGGCCAAAUAAAUUUAAUAUUAUUAUUAAUAUUAUAAAUUUUAUUAAAUUCAUUAAUAUAUUAAAUUUGCAAUGAAUUUCAUUACUAUUUAAAAAAAACAUAGAUUUGAUUUGAAGGGUAAAAUCAAUUAUCAUCAUAAUCAUCAUCAUCAUCUACGCGGAGAAGACGGUUAUAAGUAGGAUUUGGGUGCGGCUCUGCAGCCAGACCCAGAGAUAUUGGUUAUGGCUGCACAACCACACCUUUAUUUAUUAGGUGUUGCUCCGCAGCUACACCCAAUAGAUAAACCUGAUUGGAUUGGGUCCUUCUGCCAACUUUUACACCCAAUAGCAGGACCUGAUUGGCUUCGAUCCUGUUGCCAGCAGCACCCAACACCUAUCAACGUUGGGUCCAGUACCAGUAAGACCCAAAAGCUUUGGGUCUGGCGAAACUAGACCCAUCGACGAUGGGUUCUGUUGACAGCUGAAUCUAUCAGCGUUGGGUCCUGUUAAUCAGCAAGGCCCAAAAGUUGUGGGUCUUUCUGUCAGACUCAAUGCUAUUGGAUCUGGCUUGCACUAGACCCAAGACACUUAAAACAAUUUCUACAUUUGACAAAAAAAUUCUUUUUGACACGCUGCGGAGCACAGACUAAUAUGUUAGAUAUCAAACAAUAGCGUGUGUACUGGAUUACUGUGGAAAUUAUUUUUUAUAUAAAAAUAUAAUAAAAUAAUAUUUUUUAUUUUUUAUAAAUUAUUUUUAAGAUUAAAAUUUAAAAUGAUUAAAAAAUAAAAAAUUGUUUUGAAAAAAACAAUUCAUAUUUUUAAAAACAUAGUUUAAAAAGCUACUAGAUGCCAUGUCCGCGCGAUACCGCGAGCUUGUGCAUUGUCGUGGGUUUGUGGAAAAAAUCAUAAAAAAUAAAAAAAAAUCAUAUGGAGAAAACUUGUUGCAAUCCACAAUGUUUUCAAGGAAAAAACUAUAAAGCUAAAUUCUCAACCAGCUUAAUAUUAAAAAAAUAAAAUCGACAAAGAUAAUUUUGAAAAAAAUCAUAACAAAAAAAAACGAAAUGAAAAAAAAUCAUGCAGGGAAACACUAUAGCAAAUAGUGUUUCCUGAGAAAAUCUACAGUUGUAAUUCUCAACCAUUUCAAUAUUAAAAUAAUAAAAUCGAUAAAGAUAAUUUUAAAAAAAAAUCAUAAAAAAAAAUCAUGUGGGGGAACACGGUAGCAAUCCACAGUGUUUUAAAGAAAAAAAACUAUGAAGUUAAAUUCUCAACCAGCUUAAUAUGAAAAAAAAAUCGACAAAGACAAUUCUGGAAAAAAAAUCAUAAAAAAGAACAAAAAAACGAUGUGCGGAAACACUGUAGCAAUCCACGAUAUUUUAAAGAAAAAAACUACAAAGCUAAAUUCUCAACUAGCGCAAUAUUAAAAAAAUAAAAUCGACAAAAACCAUUCUGAAAAGAAAAACACAAAAAAAAGAAAAAGAAAAGAAAGAAGAAGACAAUUUUGGAAAAAACAAAGCAAAAAAAAAUGAAAAAAAAUAGAAAAACAAACAUGCGGGGAAAGUUAAAGCUAAAUUCUCAACCAGCUCAAUAUUAAAAAAAAUUGACAAAGAUAAUUUAAAAAAAAAACAUGUGAGGAAGCACUGUAGCAAAAUAAAAACCUUGUGGGGAAACAUUGUAGCAAUCCAUAAUGUUUUUUUUAAAAAAAACUAUGAAGCAAAAUUUUCAACCAGCUCAAUUUAAAAAAAAAAUCAAAAAAUAUAAUUUUGAAAAAAAACACAAAAAAAACAAAAAAAAACAAAAAAAAAGACAAUCUUGGGGAAAAAAAGGAAAAAAAACAUGUAAAACCCAAAAAAAGGAAAAAAAUGAAAAUAAAUGUUGGGAAAAAUAAAAAAAACACAAAAAUAAAAUAAAAAGAAGACAAUCUUGGAAAAAAAAAACAUGUAAAACAAAUCAAAAAAAAUGAAAAAAAUAUGGGGACUUUCCCCACACAUUUUAGAGUAUUACUAGUUACAUGACCCGCGCGAUGAUGCGGGUUAAUUUUUUUUAUAUAUAAAUAAAAUUUAAAAAAAAACUAAGAUCUAAAAAUAUUAGGUUUUUCUGUAAAGCUAUAUCCAAGAGUUUUGGGUUUGACUGCAACGCCUGACGCAAAAAUAAUAUUUAUAAUUCUUUAUCCUUUGAAAAUGUUAUGUACAAGAUCAAAUGUAUCUUAUGUUUUGAGCAUAAUGAGUAAACGUAAAUCUAAUCCAUGUAAAAGUAAUAGAAAAAUAGUUAAUAAUAAUCUUAAGUACUGAAAAAUAACUAAAAUGUUUUUCUAAUCUAUGAAAGAAAAGAGCUAGUAAUUCAUGAUUAUUUAAAUGCUAGUUUUUAAUUAAAUAUUGAAAAUAAAAAUUUAAUUUGAUUAUAUUAUAUUCUACAUAAUAAUGAUGCUAUGAGUUGAAAGAAUUUUAAAUAAAAGAUCAAAAUAGAUUUUACAACUAAAAUUAAAUAUAUCUCUAUAUUUGAAGGAACAAAAAAUUUUUUUAGUAAUUCUAAUAUUAUUGAUCCAGUAGCUAUGUUUUUUUAUUUUAUUUCCUUUUCACUUUCUAGAACUGCAUUUGGACUUCCACCAUCAUUGCAUGGGUGGAGGGAGUACAUCAGCAGAAAUACGAGAUCCCAACAGGAAACAACUAAACAAAGAACAUAAAGAUCAAACUUGCAUUUCUCCGACAGAGAGAGAGAGAGAGAGGAUACACCCUUGCAUGGGUUUUGUUUUCUACAUAAAAUCCAUUCGUGUCAAGUUCACAACGUGCAACAAGAAAAUAUUCAUGUUGACAAGGGCUUCAAAACACAGAUUGAGAUUCUAAAGAACACUAGUCAUCCACAGUCAAAAGGGAUCACAAAUCAGUACCCUGUUCUCUUCCUUUUGCUAGAAAUCAGUAUUGAAUUUUGUCGAACGAAGACUGCAUACAAUUUUGAGGGGAAGAAAAAACAAAGCAGUGCUUCUUUGCGCCAUUGUCUCCUUAUCUGGUAGCUAUGGAGAAACUUCUUUAAAAUAGCAGUACUUUCUCCAUCUACAAGUUGAGAUGCCUAAAUUUUAAACCAAAAGCAACCUCUAUCCACUGGGGCUACUUCAAUGAUUUCCCUUUUGUGGUCAUUUGAUCUUGUACAUAACAUUUUCAAAGGAUAAAGAGUUUUGGGUUUGACUGCAACGCCUGACCCAAAAUUUUUUAAAAAAACUAAGAUCUAAAAAUAUUAGGUCUUGCAGGUUCUUUUAUUGCUUGAUUUCUCCAUCAAAUCGAACACAACUUGCACGAAACGGAUCCCCUACAGUUCCUCUACAACCCCAUGUGAACGUUGCAGGAUGAAUGACAACACGGCGUCACCGGGGACGGCGUGAAGAGGUCAAUGCAGGCAGCCUUUUCCUGCAGAUUUGACAACUCAGGGAGGCUACUUUGAACCAACGGUUGGGAUCCUUCCCAACAGAAUCAAGGCUGAAAUUUUUUCCCGGUAUAGACAAGAUUGCCCUCUUCCACCGCCUAUAAAUAGAGGCGGAGUUGAUGGCCUGAUGGAGGAGAAAAUCGAGUCCAAAGUUGACAAAAAAACCAGCCUCCUCCCUAGUUUUUUUUUUCUUUUUCUGCAACAAGUCUCUCUCUCUACACUCUCUCUCACCGUGCUCUCAGCGACUCCAAGCCACGCCGCCACCAGCUCGUCUUCCACCCUCUCCACCACACUUAUUCCUCUCCACCGAAAGCACCUCCUUUUUCCUCCACAACGGCAGCAGCCCAUCAACACCAUCAUUUUCAUUUUCUUUCUUCUCCAGUAUCGGCAACAGCAGCACCGACUCCUCCACAGACGCCGCCACCAGCUUCAGGGCGACUACUCGGACCACCUCCAACCUCACUCCAGGUCGGUGACAUCAACUGCUUCUCCCCCCCGCAAGGUUGCCUCCCGCUCCACUCCGCGGGCUGCAACUGCAAAGUUGCAUAUAGAACGUGAACUUACUGUUCACGUUCUGCACAUAAUUCAUUUCACUUGGGUCAAGCCAGUUCUGGCCCAGACCAAAUGUUUGGGCCGGGUCCGGCCCCCAAAAAGGAGAGAAAGAAAGUAUGUUGGGCCGAUAUCGGCCCAAUCUUUUUGGGGCCGAUAUCGGCCCACUGUUUCUGGGUUUAUGUCUGGCCCAGUCAUCUGGGCCGGCCCAGCCCACCUGUUUUAAUAAUAUUUAUUUAAUAUAUAAUAUUAUAUUAUAUAUUUCUUUUAAAAAAAACAAAAAAUUCCAAAAAAAUUUCAAAAAUCCUUUGAAAAAAAUUGUGAUUUUCUCAAAUAUUUUUUUUACCAAUUUUGCAUAAUAUCGGGUUGUAUAUUUACACUGUAAAAUACAAAUCCUGUAUUAAAAUACCUGGUUUUCUCUGAAAUAUUUCAAAAAAAAGAAAAUUAAAACAUUCUAAAAAAGAAAAAAUAUUUUAUUGCAUACGGCCAAAUCCUAAAAUUUUUCCAAGCAUAUUUUUCAUAUAAAAAAAUGAAAACAAAAAUUGCAUCUUUUUCAUGUUUAAAAAAUCCAAAAAUGGAUAUCGUAACCAAUUUAUGAUUAUCCACUAGGAUUUGGUCAACAUGUCAAAAACCUUUUUCUAAUUUUUUUAGGGUCCAGAUGUAGACUUUAAUAUUUAUGGGUGUAAAAUUACACGAUAAAAUACACCCUCAAGUAUUAAAGAUACAAGGUGUAAAAAUACGAUGCUAAAAUUCAGACUUUAAAACGGUUAGGAUUUAACCCAAUAAGGUAGAGACUUUCUCAUGAAACGAGAUCUGCCUUGAGCCUUAGAAAAGACCAACGAAUAGAAACCCAACUUGGAAAAAAACAAUCAAACAAUAAUGCAGCUUACCUUAGGUAGGGUGCACUAGGUGUGAUGCGUCUUCCCCUUGCACAACCAGUCCCUUACUCAGACUCUCGCAGACCAUAGGUUCCUAGUGACCAUAAUACUAGGUGGCGACUCCUGAAUCUUAAUCAUAAUUUUAUGAUUAAAUCCAAAAAAAUCUUCCUAACACACCUCACAUAGGAGGCACGACAGAAAGCCUUCUUUGUCGCCAGACGACAUCGCACCGGCGCUCGCGCACCCCGCGACAAAGAUAAUUUAAAAAAAAAACCAUAAUAAAAAAAAUUAUGUGGGGAAAGACUGUAACAAUCCACAGUUUAAAAAAAAAUAAAACUAAAUUUCUAAACAGCUUAAUAUAAAAAAAAAAAGAAAAAAAAAAAGAAGGUCUUCGGUGGCCAUUGAUAGCUAUGCGAUGAACUACUCAAAAUGCUAGAACAAUUGCAAAUCCCAGUUGCUAUGUAAUGGAACUUCCAGGCUAAGGCUCCUUUAAAUUACCUGCACGCCCGGCGUAGGAAAUUAUUAUUCUAAUUAUUCAACGACAACUUCAAGACAUGGCUGGCGUCGGGUGAUGACGAAGACAUUAUGACGUAGGUCUGCUGAAGUGGACCAAGUGGUAUUCGCAUUAUCACGUGCUUCUACAACUCUCCUCUUGCUUUUUUUUUUUAAUCUCCUUUUUUUUUGUUUUUGUUUGUGUUCUAGUUUUAUCCAUGGUUUGAUAAUUGUUUUGUGAGUUUGUUAUUAAAUGUAUUUUGUGCUUUUAUCUUUUUAAUAAAAUCUUUAUAUUUAUUGAUUAAAAAAAAUACUUAAUUUGUUUUUUUAAUUAGAAAAUUAUUCUCUUCUGGUUUUGCUGCAUUUGAAAAUGAAUUUUUCUAUCAAAAUUUUUUUUUCUAAUAUAAAUCAAUAAUCAUAUGUAAAUCAAAGUUGAAAUGAACGAACAAACAAACUAUGUACAUGGCAUCUUCCGUAGGAAGCUUAGGAAAGGAUGAAGGCCAAGAAUAAUGUAAAAUAAAAACCUAUGCCUCCACUACCAAUAAUGUAAAAAAAAUUAUUGAGAAAAAUAAAUCAUGAAAAUGUACUUCCAGCUCCAGUCAUCCAAAGCUUCUUAAGUCUUAGAAAAAAACAUUUAACACAAAUCUCGAUAUAAUUCAUAUGUUAAUUAAAUUCUCAAAGAUAUCGAGAGAAUUCUUGAUUAGAUUUUUAACGUAGUCUAUUUUCUAUCAAAUGUGACUUGAUAAUAAUCAUAUGCAUCAAAAUAAAUUCUCUUUAAAUAGUUAUUGGUUUUUUUCUUUUUUUUUAUGUUUUUUUUUUAUUUUUUCUAAAAUUAUCUUUAUUGAUUUUAUUUUUUUAAUAUUUAUUCGCAGUUAUAACACCAUCAAACAUAUUUAUUUUAUAAACUCGUGAUAAUGUGCUAGCAUGCUAUUUAGUAUCAAAUUAUAGUGUGUGUAUAGUAUUACUGUGGAGAUUAUUUUUUAAAAUAUUUUUAUAUGAAAAUAAUAUUUUUUAUUUUUAAAAAAUUAUUUUUAAUAUUAAAAUUUAAAAUGAUAGAAAAAAAUAUAAAAAAAUUAUUUUAAAAAAACAAUUUAUAUUUUUAAAAACACAGUUUAAAAAGCUAUUCCAAACAGCGCUGGAUCCACCACGCAGCUUGGGCUUACGUCCCUUUACGAAAGAUGAGAUUCACAAUAACAAGAGAAGAAGGGUUACUGCUACAAUUACAGGAAUAUUUGCUCUAAAGGUGAAGUUUCUCCAUCCAACCAGGUAGAAACAAAGAGAGUGGCACGAUGGCAUCAAUUUUAUUAGACGAGUGCUAUAAGUUUGGAGUUCACAAUUACUAUUUCUUCUAUUAGAAAACACAUUGCAAUGUAUGUAUAUUCUUUUUUAUGUUGAAAAUUUUUAACGAAGGGCGGGUUAACUAGUUAAUAGUCUCAUGUUCUUUAGAAAUUGAAGGGAUUAAACACUAAAGUAACUAACUUUCCUCGCCAAAAAAAAGGUAUGGUUUGAUUUUUUAACAUAUGAUUGAAAUUUAAGUUUUAAAUUUAAGUUUUAAUCGCCACUAGAUUGGUAGCCUGCAUGCCAUGUCACGCGCUAGCAGGAUUAAUUUUUUUUUCAUCGGAAGAAAAAAAUGCUUAGUCAUUUUAUAUUGGAUUAAUAUGAUUAAAACAAUAGGAAUGAUAAGCAUUUUCCUCUACGAAUGAGGAAAACCUCAUAACAAGUGAUGGAGAUUUGAGAACAACAAGCAACCAUGGAUUCCCAAGUUUCAAAUGGGUCACAGGAUUCACAUAAACUUAGCCAAUCCGGUUAUUUAUUCUUCGUAUCGAAAUACAGGACAUGAAAAUCCUUCAGCAACACACCUCUUAAUUACAUAUCAAUAACAGCAAAGACAUCCACAUCUUCACACACAUGCAACAAACACCUUACAUCGCACGCUUCUUAUAGCAGAAAGCCCAUAAAACCAGAUACAAGGAGCGCUUGCCCGCUUAAGCUCUGCGGCACACAUCUCCAUCGCAGUUCCAUCCUUCCUUUCCCUUUUCACUUCCAGUAUCUUCAUCUUCCUUCAACGCACAUUUCGGGUGAAGAUCAAAGUCACAUUGUUUGCAAUAGAAAGACCAACUAUGUCCUGUUUCACGACAGCCAUUGCAAACAUAUGCUUUGCGUUUAGUACGAAUCAGCUCAUGCUCAGUAUGAAGUUCGUGUUUCACUUUCUCUGGCCACCCCUUUUCCUUUUCCUCAAGCUCCUCCUCCAAUUGCUUUAGAUGUUCCUCGGUAAAUGGAAAAGCAUCUGCCCCGUAAGCUGUCAAGUGCUUCCGAGCUUCCUUGGUAAUGGUCCGGCCACUUGGGCCAAUCGCUACAGCUGCAGGAAUGCCUUGAAUUUUGAAUUUCCGACUCAGGAUUUGUUUCCUUCCAUCAACAAAUGGAAGGGCUAACCAAGGCAUUUCAGAAUAGAACUCGUCAAAGGUGGAUUGAUCGCUGUCGCUUGAGAUGAAGAUCACCUCGAAUGCGUUGUCUUUUCCUUUAAUUGUGUGGUAUGCUUCAAUUAGCUUGGGUAAAAAGGCACGACAUGGAGGGCACCAUUGAGCUGAGAAGUAAAGAAGAAUGUUCUUUCCAACUAGUUCAGACACUGGGACCUAAUCAAGAACAAACCACUUGAAUGAUAAAAAAAACCUUUGCUAAUGAAUUCAAUUAGUGAUGAUAUGAAAGUUAUUGAAAGUAAUGCAAUAACAACAUGCGAG